UGGGUGUUAAUAAAACAUAUUUCUUUAAAUUAUACGAAUAUGUUUGUGAUGGAAAGGAACAUAAAAUGAUAAUAAUAGUUGAGAGAGAGAGUUGAACCAGCUUUGUAGGAAGAUUUUGUCUUGGCAUAAGGCCAUCAUGGGCCCCAACGAAACUCCAUCAGAAUUGGGAACAAAGAAUGCGGCGACGGGUGUGAGGCUGUAGAGCCGGUGAAAGGUGGGAGGAACGCGGUGGUCGGAAAUGAGGGAAGAGUGAAGAAUGGAGUAAGAAGAAAGAAGUGCGAGGAGACGAUCUAGCAUUGAGGCUGCUUCUGGGUUACUGCAACUAAUCUUUGAUGCUAUUUCCUUAGCAGACAGCUUAGCACCUUCUCCCGCUUCUUUCAGCACCUCAAACACUCCCAGCUCCGUCGCCGAUUGCACUGCCAUCGGAAGGGCCACCGAACCUACAAUCUCCAUGGCAUGCGAGAAGCUUUGUGCAUCUUGUAUCUCUUCUUCCUUCCUCUUUUCUUCACCAUUCAGGCUUGCCAUCUCCACUUCAACACCUGCAGACAAGAAAGAGAAGAAGUGAAGGGGAAGAAUAAAGAAGAGGCCUAUAUAAAGGAGAAAAAAAAAACUUAUCCUUAACAGUGAUGAAUAUGUAAAAUAAGACGCUACGUAAAACCCUACUUUUUCACCAUUAAACCAUGCAAUGAAAAUGCUUUAUCAUACACACGUCUCAACCCCUACCUUCUUAACCUUCCUCUUUUGACUUCUUUUUGUAAGGUAUUUUUUUACAAGUUAAACAAUUUUCUUGUUAACUAAAGUAAAUAAAAUGUGUAUUGUUUAUAUUAAAAAUAAUUAUGAAUAGUCACUGCAAUAUUUAUUAUUUUAGUUAAACUAUCUAUGGUAACUCUCUUGUAAAACAAACAUGACUUAUGAAUUAUUCAGAAGUUUAUAUGAAAAUAAUGGAAUAAAAUUUUGAGAAGGAAGACCAUCAUGAUUCAUACAAUUAACUACUGUCUGAAAAUAAUUUUUAAAUAUGUUUUUUAAUUGAACCCGAAAAAUUAUCAUAAGUUUUUGUGAUGUCAUAAAAGUAUAAAAAAUGGAAUAUCUUUUUAAUCUAAUGUAAAAAUAAGGAAGAAUGUUAAUUAUAAUAUUGGAAAUGAUUUUUAAUAUUUUUUCUGUAAUUGACUAGAUUUUGUAUAAAUUGUCAAAAUACUCCUAAUUAACCAAUUUAAGAAGUCUAAAAUUGAUUUUUAGUGAGAAUAAUUUUUAACCAUUAAGAAUAUUAAUUUGAUGAUAAAAUUUGAAAUGUGUUCCAUAAAUAAUAAAUAAUUUUCAAGAUUUUUUUGAAAAUAUAUGAAGUACAUAUUGCACUAAAUUGUAGAAUAUUAAAGGCUAACAAAUUAAGUUCAGCAAAUAUUUUCUAUUACUAAACUUAUCGAACUCUCUCUAGAUUUUUAGAUGUGAUUCUUGUUAAAUAUUUUGAAAAUUAAAGAUAUUUCUAUCUCUAAAAGUUGAAGUGCAAGAUUAUCAUGAAUGAUCAUGAGUACUUUGAUUAUUUUAUACAAAAUUAUAUAAUUAUAGUAAAAAAUAUAUAAUUAUGUAAUAUUGUAGAUCAUAUUAUAAGUGUAAAAUAAAGUUUUAAUCCAUUACUAUAUGUUACUGAAUAAUAUUAUGUUAGUAAGUGAGUUUAAAUCGAAUUCAAGAUUAUAAAAUAAUUGAUUUAUAAAUGAUUUAGUUAUACUUUUAGUUCAUUGUAAAAUAUUUAAUAAAUAUAAAGUCUCUUAAUUAAGAAUGAUCUUUUAUUAUUAAAUAAUCACUUGAUAACUUAACUUUUAAGAGUAAUGUGGUUAUUGAAAAAUUAAAAUUUUGUAAUUAUAGGAACAAAAGUAAAAUAAUGAUAUAAAAUGAUUGUUUAAAUUUAUUAGGAUAUCAAUAUAUUGUUACUUUAAUAAUAAUAAAAUAUAAUCAUUAAUUUGGUUCUAUACUAGUCUUAGUCUUUAUGCUCGUGUUGGUCAUAGUCAACAAUUUUGUCGUAAAUUUCGUUCCAUUAAUAAAAAAAUCUUGAAUAAAAUAAAAUGAAUUAAUUUAAUAAAAAAAAUAGCAAAAUAUAAAAAAGGAUUAAAAUAAAAAUAAGAAAAGGUGUUUAUUUAAUUUAACAAAACUUUAAAACAUAUAAAAAUAUAUUGUAAUUUAUUUUAUUAAAAAUAUAUUAAAAUAUUAAAAAAGUAAAUUGAAAAAAAUGAAAAUAUGUUUUUAUUUAAUUUAAGAAAACUUAUUUAAUUAGUUAUUUUGACGAUUCAAUAAACACGUUUUUUUUUUUUGUUUUAUUGAUGAAUGUUCUUUUUGAAAAUUCUACUAUAUGAAAAUUCAACUAUGAAAAUUCAAGUAUCUUUUUUCUACAAGAGUAUGUUUUUCUAUAAGAGUAUUUUAAGGGUAUAGUUUUGUCAACACAAUCAUUUUUGUUUGUAACAAGUAGAAUCAGUAUUAUAAAUAGUUUUUCUUUUCCAUUAUAAUCAAAGCUUUACCUUUUUCAUAACUUCUGUAAUAAAUUUUCAUUAAAUAGUAACGUAGAGUGCAAAAAUAAAAUUUUAAUUCUGAUUUAGAACAAUAUUAAAAAACCUUAUGAUAUUUGGUACAAUAUUCUGAAUAACAAAAAAUAUUUUAUUUCUUAUAAGCAAAAAUAUAAUUUCCUAUUCUAACAAAUUUAAAAAUUAUUUUAAAUUAAAAUUUUGAAUUUUUAAAAAAUUAGAGAAAUUUGAAUUUGAAAAAAAAGAAAAAGAAUCCAAAUUUUACAAUUUUACCCUUUAAAUAACUACUUUUUUUUAAAUUCAAAUAAUUCUUUCGAAUAAAAAAUAAUCUACACGAUAAAAAAAUUGCAUACAAGAAACUUAAAAAAUUACUUAUUUUUUUAAUAAUUUCUAAUAAAAAUAUUUUUAUAAUAUAUUUUUAUUUCAAUAUAAAGAAAAAAAGUGUAAUUAUUCAUCUUUAAAAAAUAAUUUUGUUUAUUAUAUAAAAUAAAUAAUUGAAUAUUUUUUUAUUUUAAAAUAAUAAAUAACUUCUUUUUUUAAAACUAAUUGAUAUAUAUGGAUGAUAAUUUUUACCUUAUAUAAUUAAUUUUUUAAAUGAAGAAUAAAAUAUAUUCUAAAUUCAUGUUUUUCUAUAUAUAGUAAGAUUCUAAAUUAUAUUUUAUAAUAAAAUGUAAAAAAAUAAAAAAUACACGUAGGUCUGUGUUUUCGUUAAUUAGUAAUAAUAAUAAAAAGGAUAAAAGUAAUAUAUUGAUUUUAAAACAAUAUGCAGAAAGUUUAAUUUUCGGAUUCUGUAUAAAUGGUCAAAAUGUCACCUUUUUUUCAUUAAAAGUGAUGCAUAUAACGAAAAAUUCAUUACUCCAAUCUCUUAUAGUCAAAUUGUUGGAAUGGAGUUCCCAUUUUGUCAUGGUUUGUUAAUGCUUUAUUAAUAUAAUUUUGGCAAAAAAUUGAUGUUUGAUACAAAACUUAAGAAUUAAAAAAAUUAAAAUCUUUUACUAAAUUAAUUUAUACACAAGAUAAUUUUAAUUUUUAAAAGUGCAUUUUUUUAUUCUUUGAAAUAUUUAUAAAAUUUGUCUAAACAUACUAUUUAAUACAUGAAACAAUAAUAUUCAAGCUUUACGAAAAAUAAAUAUUAAAGUAAAUACAAUCAAUCACUAUCAUGGUCAAAAGUCUUCUCACAAUUCAAAUUUAAAUUUGAUUUCUUUAAGCUAACUCCUUUAUGCACUACAAUAAAAUCAUGAAAUAAAAACCAAUUUUUAGAAACCAAAAUAAUUAGUUGCAAUAGUAACUAAAUUAGAGACCAUUUUAGAAACUAAAAAGAAAUUUGGUUUCUAAAUUAGUUUCUAUUAUUUUAUAUUAUUGUUAAAUAGUUUCUAAAUUAGUAUCUAAUUAGCAACCAAGGUUUUUGCUACCAAAUUUAGAAACUAAUAUAAUCACACAAUAUAAUAUAAUCACUAGCGCAUAAAUGCUAAUCAAAUCUUGUAGUUAAGUUUAUAGUUUAUUUUACUGCAACAGCCAGGUUUAUCACCCAAGUUUUUACAGUGUCCAAGGAAGAGUUAACCACUAGACCAGACAAAUCCUUUGAUCAUAUUAUCAUUUUUAUUAUACUUAUUAUUAUUAACAUAAUUUAUACAUAUUAAUAUAAUUAUUAUUAAUAAUAAUAAAAUAAAUUAUAUUCAUAUUAUUAAUAUUAUUAAUAUUAUUAAUAUUAUUCAUAUUAUUAAUAUUUAUUAAUAUUAUUACUAAUAUUAUUAUUAUUAUUAUUAUUAUUAUUAUUAUUAUUAAUAUUAUUAUUAAUAACUAGUGGGAACACGAGCACUCAUGUGCCUGUAUCCGCAUUUUUCAUUUUUACUAUUUAUAUAUUCAUAUAAUUUUAAUAAAUAUUAAAUUAUAUGAGAAGAUAUGUAAAUUAUCUAAAUGCAUCAUUGAUAAUAGUUUUAUUAAGAAUUUAUGUUAAUUUUUUUUUAUAUUUUCAUUUUAUUAUUUUUGAAUAUUAAAUUUUGAUUAAACUUGGGUGUAAUCUUGAACUUUGUAAGGUUAUCAAGGUUAAAAUUAAGGUUUAAAAAAAAUGGACCAGCAAACAAUGUCAAAACAUAAUGCAAAUGGUUGUAUGUUGGAAGUUGCGGAAUCUAUCACCAUAUCAAUUGAAUCCACAUCUUCCAUGGCAAAGAAGUUGAAAAAAAUAAAAUAAUAAACUAAAUACAAAUUACCAAACUUCCAACAUAUCUAAUAGAUCAAAGCACAGUAGACAUAAAAACUUUGCCCGCAAAGCUGGGCUUAAAAUUCAUUCAAAAAUAUAUAUAAAAAAAAAUUAAGAAAGCAAUAGAAACAAAAAUGUUCAAAUCAUAUAACAAUAAGACACGUCUCUGCUUCGAACGCUUUGGGAAGUGCGAGAAGGAAGAAACAAUGGUGGUCGUUGUUGUACAGUGGUGAUUGAAGAGGGAAUAAGAUGGGUGAGAGUAGGAGAAGAACAUGGAGCGUGAAGGAAGAGAGUUCAAAAUGUGUCAAAAUUUAUGAGCUUUUUUUUUUCUUUGGAUGCAACGGGUGAAAUUACUCCUUAUAAGAAAGUGGAAGAAAGUGGUAACCGCUCAACUACUCCUUAUAGGGAGUGAAUGUAACUGGUGAAAACUAUUCCUUCGUAAGAAAGUGGAUGUAAAUGGUGACGGUGGAAACUACUGAAGAAAGUGGUAACCGCUCAGUAAUAAUCAAAUUGUUCACGUUUGGCCACUACUCACAUUUCCUAAUAUUUAUUUCUCUCUCAUGAAACAGACACUCUCUCUCGUUAUGCAAUUAAUUUUCAAAAUAAAUUAUCUCUUUCAAUUCAAACGGUUGUUCCAUUUAUUUCAAAUAUUUUAUUAAAUUUAUUUCUCUCUCAUACAACAGACACUCUUUCAUUAUGGAAUUAAUUUUCAAAAUAAAUUAUCUCUUUCAAUUCAUAACCACUCCUCCACCUCUCUUUCAAUUCAUAACCGUUCCUCCACCUCUCUUUCAAUUCAUAAAUGUUCCUCCACCUCUCUUUCAAUUCAUAACCGUUCCUCCACCUCUCUUUCAAUUCAUAAAUGUCCACUACGUAUAUUAAAUAUUGUAGAAAAAAUAAGAAAGGGCACAAUGACCAUAAUACAAUAAUAAAAUUAAAAAUUAAUAUAAGGAUAAAAUGGGAAAAAAUUAAGAGCAGUUAAGAGGGAAUAAGAAAUGAUACAAUGACCAUAAUACAAUAAUAAAAUUAAAUAUUAAUAUAAGGAUAAAAUAUGAAAAAAAAUUAAGAGAAGUUAAAAGGGGAAUCCCCUUUAUAUAUACUAGCGGGAACACAGGCGCUCUCGCGCAGGUGUAUCCGCAUUUUUUUAUUUUUGUUUUUAAUGUAUAUCUAUAUUUUAUUUUUAUUAUUAUGUAUCUAAUAUUUUAUUUUUAUAAUUAUUGUAUUUUUUUAUUUUUUCUAUUAAUGUUAUUAUUAUUAUUAUGUAUCAAUAUUUUCUAUUUUUACUGAUUUGACUAUUCAUUAAAUCUAUAAUAGUUUGAUUUUAAUUAGUAUUUCAAACUAAAAGAAACUUAGGUCUUAAUUAAUACAUUGUUUUAGUGAUUAUAGUAAUAUUUAACCUUUUAAAUCAAAUAUAUAGACGAUCAUAUAUAUACUCAUUUUGUUUUAACAUAGAUUGUGAAAAUUAUGUCAUAAAAAUAUUUUUUUAAAUGCAUAUUGAUUGAAUAUUAUUAAAACUCAUUAAAUUUAGUAAAAUUAUGUUUAUUAUGGUUUACGAAAUAAUUUUAAAAGACCUCCUAUUAAAUUAUGUUCCACAACAUAAAAAAAAAUCAGAUAUUCAUAAAUAAAAAUAUAAAGUUAUCACUUUCCAUUUUUUUAUAAACUAAAAUAAGAUAAUGCAUAAAAUAAAAAAAAUAUAAACCAAAAUAAGAUAAUGCAUAAAAUAAAAAAUUGAAACAUUUUACAUACUAAUUUGACUGUUCAAAUUUGAAGUAGAGUAAUGAUGAAAAAACAUUAUUCUAUAAUUGCGAAGGUGAAAUUAGAGUAUGAGAAGUUAUCACUUUCCAUUUUUUUUUAUAAUUUAAUAUAAAGCAAAGCAAAAAAGUUAAAAUUGUUUGAAUUAUAAUGUAGUGCAAUAUUGAGAAAAUAUAGGUCCUAUGUUUUUUAGUCUUGAGUAUAGGCUAGACCCUCAUUAGACACAACAAAACCUUCAUAAUCAUUAGACAACAAAACCUGCAUAGUUUCUUGAAAACAAAUAAACCUUGGAGAGAUGCUCCUAGAACACCAUUGUCGAGAUUUUCCCAAUCACGGAUCCAAAGCCACUGCAAAAAAAAAACUCCAAAAACUCACAAACAAUCCAUGAAAAGUGCAAGAUUAAUCAAAGAAAUGAAAGUAUGAUUUUACAUGAAAGUGAAAAGGAAAGAGAAAAGAAAAGUGAGAAGUAUGGUAAAAAAAAGAAUGUGUUAUGUGUAGUGGAGAGAGAAAGUGGGAAGUAGGUACCUAUAUAGGAGAGAGAAAGUGGAAAGUAGGAUACGUGAGUUAUGUGUAAUCGAGAAUAUCAGUUUAAAUAAAAAAAAAAGUAACGUACUAAAUCUCCACUCUCCUACUAAAGUGGUCCACAAAAUAUUACAAAUAUCUUUAAUUUUUUAUUUAAUAAAAAAAAAAUCUUUAAAACAGAAAAGUAACUAAUCACUCUCUCCACUCUCCCCACCCUCUCCACUCUCUCCACUCUCCCCACCCUCUCCACUCUCUCCACAAUUAAAUAAUAACAAAUAAAAUAAAUUUUAAAAUUAUUUUAUUAAUUUUUGAAAUUAUAAAAUGUCCAAAUAACCAAAAUAAAUUAAUACAAUAAAUUAUUAAGUAAGGAUAAAAUAGAAAAAAGAAUUAAGAGCAAUUAAGAGGUGAAUAAGAAAUGACAAAAUGACCAUAAUACAAUAAUAAAAAUAAAUAUUAAUAUAAGGAUAAAAUAGGAAAAAAAUUUAGAGCAGUUAAGAGGGGAAUCCCCUUUAUAUAAUAUAUAUAUAUAUAUAGGUAUAGAUGUAUAGAUAUUAUUAUUAACAUUAUUAUUAUAUUCAUAUUAUUAAUAUUAAUAUUGUUAAUAAUAAUAAGUAUAAUAAAAAUCAUAAUCAUACUAAAGCAUUUGCUUGGUGUAGUGGUUAAAUUUUCUUUAAGUUAUUAUUCACGUGAAAAUCAAUUUUAGAUUUAACUCAAAUUCAUAAUAUUUCUCUUAUAAGUUUCAUAACACUUUGCGGUUAUACUUAUAUAAUUAAAAUGUAAGUUAAAUAAAGUUUUCAUUUACUUCUAUGAUUAAAAUGUUUUAUUUUUAAUUGUUGAGUAAUAUUCAACAAAGAACAGAUAGAUAUCAACAUUUGUUUUAGAAUUUAGGGUGAAAAUAAACCAUUCUAGUUGACUCAACUUCUGUAAUUAUUCAUAAUACACUUAUUCACGUGUUUAGUUGACAUUUCUCCAAUAUUUAUAGUUAAAAUGCAUGUGCAUGGCUAUAUUAUUUCCAGAUCCGAUCGGAAGCUAGCGUAAAUAAAGAGCUAGCACUAAUAUUUGAAGGUAUAUAAUAUAAAUAACAUUUUUUGUUAAACAUUGAUUAGAUGAUAUGAUUGGCAAAUUAAAACACUUGUAAAUUACGGUUUUCAUGGAAAACUCAAUUUCUUUAUAGCACUUAAGAAUAACGAAGUUAAUAAUAGAUGAGACAUUAAAGAGAGGAUAAGCAGAUGAGAGAUAAAAGAGAAUCUAUACGUAACAAUAAAUUAAUACAUAAAGAAUUAAUUAAUAUUAAAAUUGGUGACUUAUCAUCAUAUUUUUUUUUUCUUUUGACUAAGUUGAUGUAUUUUUUUUAUAAUUUUUAUUUUUAUUUAAGUUUGUUUAUUUUAGAUUUAUUGAAUCUGUUUUUUAUUUUGAAAUAGUGAAAUUUUGAAUAAGUCUAUGUAGAAAUAUAUAUAUAAUAGGAUCUAAUUUUUUGAUGUAGUAUAUUGAGUAGAUUUUUUUUUUAUAAGUGUUGGAGUAUUCCUUUGUAUUUCUAUUUUUUUUAUUUGCUAAAGAAAAUGGUUAAGAGAAAAUAUUAAGUGUUGAGGAAAUGGUACUAUUGUAGUUGGAAAUUCCAUUUAUAAAUAACACCUGACUUCUCAUGGAAAUUCCAUUUAUAAAUUCAAGAAUCUUUCUUAUCCUCUCUUAUCCUUUUCUCUCCCAAAAGAUACAUUAACUGUUGUUCCUGAUUCUUUUCUCAUUCAAACAAGUUCUUUCUCCAUUCCAACUUCCAAAACUACUCUAGAUUGACUGUCAUCUCCCCUCCUAGCCAAAUGUAAGCUUCUUUAUUAGAACAAAUGGAAAACAUCAUUGGAAGAUUGACCUUGAGAAACAUAUUUCUCGUCCAUUUGUCCUCCUAUAACCUUAUCUCUCUCUCGUUAUCUACCUCCCAUAAAAUUAUCCUAAAGUUGUCUUUCUAACACUCAAGAAACCAAAUUUCUUUCAAAUUCCACCACAAAAAAAAUAAAAAAUAUGAUCUACAAUUCUUUUACACCCAAAAAUCUCUUCAACCUCCAUACUUAGAAUCCAGUACUUUUUCCCACAAAUCUUUCUUCUCAUCGCCUAAGAGCCAAAUCCACAUUUGAUAAUUUUAAUGUACACAUUUAAAAGGUAAACCAUAUUUAAUAAAAGAUUAUUCAUAACUUUAACAUAAAUCUAAUAUUUCUCUCGUUAUUUUUCUUUUGUGGUAAUUUUAUCAACAAAUAAGUAACAUCACUAUUAAAGGUUAAGUUAAACAUGUGUGUUUUUCUUACGUAAUUUUUUACAUGACUCCAUGUCAUCAUGAAUCAAAUUAAAACUAUUGUUAACUAAAAUAAGAUAAAAGAAAUUGUGUUCACUACCACCACUUAAUUUAAAAAUUAAAAUGAAAUAUUAAGAUAUUAAAAUAAAUUUCAAUUUAUUUCCUUUUCUUGCAUCAAGUUAGCAGCGAUCAACAAAAUUGAAUAAAAAAUAAACUUUUACUUCAUUUCUUUCCUUCCAUUAUUUCUUCUUUUCAUAUUUUCUUAUUAUUUUUAUAUCUUUUUUUCAAAAAAAAUUUCUGUCGUUCAUACUUUUCCAUUAUUUUUUUUUUAAUUUCUCACUUCAUUUUUCAUUUUUUUUCAAAAUCAAAUUUUAUUUUACAAUAAUUGACGUUGACAUGUACAGGAUUAUUUUCACCUUUAUGAUAUUUCAGUUUAGAAUCAUAUUUUCAUCAUAUUUCAGUUUAGAAUAAUUAUUUUCAUCAUAUUUAAUAAAAAAUAAUUUUAAAGAUAAAAAAUAAUAUAAACUAAAAAUUUAUUGAUAUUUAAAAUAAUUUUUAUUAUUAAUAAAAAAUAUAAAAUAAUUUCCAAAUUAAUAUAUAACAUUAACCAUCAAAGUUUUACCUACUAGUCAAUAUAAUAAUUAAUUAUUUUUUUUAAUUAAAGAAAAUAAUCAAAUCAAGUAGUUUAACUUCAAAUUAAAACUUUGUAUUCAUUUAGUUAUAUUAGGUUUCUAGGAUUAAAAAAAUCUUUAAAGAUNNNNNNNNNNNNNNNNNNNNNNNNNNNNNNNNNNNNNNNNNNNNNNNNNNNNNNNNNNNNNNNNNNNNNNNNNNNNNNNNNNNNNNNNNNNNNNNNNNNNNNNNNNNNNNNNNNNNNNNNNNNNNNNNNNNNNNNNNNNNNNNNNNNNNNNNNNNNNNNNNNNNNNNNNNNNNNNNNNNNNNNNNNNNNNNNNNNNNNNNNNNNNNNNNNNNNNNNNNNNNNNNNNNNNNNNNNNNNNNNNNNNNNNNNNNNNNNNNNNNNNNNNNNNNNNNNNNNNNNNNNNNNNNNNNNNNNNNNNNNNNNNNNNNNNNNNNNNNNNNNNNNNNNNNNNNNNNNNNNNNNNNNNNNNNNNNNNNNNNNNNNNNNNNNNNNNNNNNNNNNNNNNNNNNNNNNNNNNNNNNNNNNNNNNNNNNNNNNNNNNNNNNNNNNNNGACUCAGGAGACGUUGAAAGCGCCGAGGGUUAGAGCGCGACCGGCAAAGACCGAUGAGGCGAUGGAAGUCUGCGCUGUUAGGGAGCCCGGCACGUGGAUAACACCGUACCAGUUGUACUUAGAAGAUGGCGUACUCCCACUUGACCCGACAGAGGCAAAAAGAAUAAAGAGGAGUUCGAGUAAGUUUACUUUGAUUGAUGGGAACCUGUUUAGAUUUGGGUUUUCUCAUCCUGUGCAGAUCUGCGUGUAUGGCGAGCAAUGCACUAGACUUAUGUCAGAGCUACACGAUGGGUAAAGUAACAUGAAUAAUAAAGUGUAGCAACAUUAAAGAUCUUGGAAUUGAUUAUGAAUGAGAAAUUUUUUAUAUAGUCUAUUUUAAACUCAUAAUUAUCUAAGUAUAAUGCAUUUCAAAUGACCUAUAAUACCGUGAUCAAUAAGUAGAAUGUGCAUGAAUUGCACUGUUGGUUCAAUAAGAGAUAGAAUUUAAAAAUUAGUAAAAUAAUUUAGUUCAUCAUGUAAGCGAUCAAGAAAAUCAAGGAACUAGAUUUUUUGUGUGUGAAGAAACAUGAUACAAGGAAAAAAAUGUUAAAGAUUAAUCAUGCAUCUAUAAAAAUCUAGAAAAAAUAAUUAAAAGACAAUAAUGAUCAUUUAUGAGAUAAACUGAACAUGUUGGUUUUCAUAGUAAAUGGAUCAAAGGUUGCAUGGAGUCUACCUCUGUGUCUGUGUUGGUUAACGGAAGUCCUACUGAAGAGUUCUACCCUCUGAGAGGGUUGAGGCAGAAGACCUACUAGCUCCGUUCCUUUUUCUAGUUGUAGCUGAAUGUUUGACUGGGUUAGUUAGGAAAGCUAUUAAGUCCAACAUGCUUACUAGGGUGAAGGUGGGGAGGAACGAGGUUGAAUCUUGUGUGCUUCAGUUUAUUGAUGACACUAUUUUCAUGUGAGAAAGACUCUUACUCUAAUGUGUUCACUCUGAAAGAAAUUCUAAGGUGUUAUGAGUUGACUUCUAGGUUAAAAAUUAAUUUUCAUAAAUCAAUGUUGGUAGGUAUUAAUUUGGUUAGGAGUAACCUUGAUUGCUAUGCAAGAUGUCUUAACUGUACUCUUAUGUGGACACAGUUUAAAUACCUGGGUCUUGAAGUUGGUGUUAAUAUGAGAAAAAAGGAGUCUUGGGAGCCAGUUUUGAAUAAAAUUAGUACGCGGCUUAGUGUUUGGAAGGGUAGAUUCUUAUCUUUGUCAGGGAGAAUUUGCUUAAUUAAGUUGGUGCUCACAACCUUACCUCUCUUUCAUCUCUCUUUCUAUAAAGCGUCAGAGUCCGUAUAUAGUAGAAUCAUAAGUAUUCAAAGGAAGUUUCUUUGGGGUUGGGGAAAGGAUAAUAGAGUUAUCUCUUGGGUCAGUUCGGAAAACGUAUGCAAACCUAUGAAGUAAGGUGGAUUGGGGUCAGAGACAUUAGAAAGUUCAAUGAAGCUCUUUUGGCCAAAUGGAAAUGGUGUUUGGUGAGUGAAGAACGAGGAAAGUGAAAGGAUAUUUUAAUUUCUAAAUAUGGAGUUGAAUCAAGUCAACGUCACUAACCCAAGAAGUACCAGUCUUGGUGGUGGAGGGAUUUGUCUAAAGUUUGUGGCGAGGAUAAUGUAGAAGGGUGGUUUAAAGAAGCUCUGGUCUGGAAAGUGGGCUUUGGGGAUAAAGUCAGAUUCUAUUAGGAUGUCUGGGCAGGUGAUAAUAAGCUUAUCUCGUUGUAUUCGAGGUUGCAUUCUAUAUCUUUGAACAAAAGGCUGACAGUGGGUGAGGUUGGAGGGUGGGAAAACUCAAUUUGAAAAUGGUGGCUUAGAUGGAGGAGAACUAAAUUCGAGUGAGAAUCCUUACAAAGAAGAAGAAAUGAUAAGGCUUAUCUUCACAGAUUUUCUGAACAUGGAGGCACAAGACUGUCAAUUGUGGGGAGGUAACAUCACAAACGUGUAUGGUGCCUAUGCUUUAGAUGAAUAGAUAUUUUGUUCGUCCAAUAUAAGGACCUGAGAUUCCAUUUCAAGAACUUAUAUUUAGUGCAUUUGAGCUCUAAGAAGAAUAAGGUGUGGACAGGAUUGUGGAGUGGCCGUAGUAAGUCCCUGACGCGCGGAAGAAAUCUUCCAAAUAACACAGAUCUUGUCAAUCUAUGAGGAAGCUACAGUAGGGCAGAAGAGAUGUGCUAUGAGGUUCAGUAUGCUGCGGUUUUGAAGCAGUCAUGCUACUAUUAGAAGCAUUCUGUUUAGCACGGAAUCUGUCGGAUGGGAGGACUCUGAACUCAUUAAAAAGCUGGAGGGAAAUAAGAGGUAUUGGUUGUUAUUUGUUAAGCUCUGUUAAGGAUGUUGUUAUGGGAAGCUUGCAGAUUACAAUCCUCUCUAUAUGGACGACAAGAAGUUGUGCAACCUCUUGUUGUAGAAGGUGCAGAAGUAUGUGGGAUUAUGGAGGGCCAGGUGUUGCUGGUGUUUUUUGGAAGAUGAAGGAGGGCUAAUAUAUGUGGCCUUAUACCUAGUAUCCAUAUUAGUUCUGUUUUUUGUUUAGCAGUUCUAUACUCAUAUUUUGUUAGACAAAGUUGGAAAGGUUUAAAGAAGUGUAGGGGAAUAAACUUUGACAAGGGAAGAACUUUUUACUGGGUCUUCUAUAAAGGUUGGAGUAUUAAUGAAAUACCUUAUUAUUUUUAUUUAGUCACUAAAAAAAUCAUCAACAAAUGUGUAUGAAUUACACAACAUGUUCAAGAAGAAAGUGAAUUUAAAAAUUAGGAAAGUAACUUAGUUGAUUAUGAAAAUCAUAAAAAAAAACCAGAAUUUUUUAUGUGAAGAAGCAUGAUAUAGGGAAAAGGAUGUUAAAAGGUUAAUAUGCAUCUAUUAAAAUCUAGAAAUAUUAAUUAAGACAAUAAAUAUCCUUUUUUUGAGAAAUAUGAACAUUUUUAGAAGGAUUUCUCAAGACGUUAAAAAAGAAGGAUAUUAUGCAUGUUUCUAAUGAGAUUUAACUAAAGUUUUCAUAAUACACAUUGGAUUGAUUCUGAAUUUACUAGAGAUUAUUUAGUGCAUAAAUCAUAAAUUCAAAAUAAAUAAAAAAAUUCUUCAUGAAAAUAGUGAAAACUCCAGUGGAAACGUUCUAAUCUUAUCUUUGCAUAUUUCAAUUGUUUUAUUUUAUUAAUAUAAAAAGUGAAUAUAACAUGAUAUAUUACACACCAGGAGUUUAUUCUGUUAUUUUAAAAUUAUAAAAAUAAACACAUAAAACACAUAAAGAAGCAAUUAGAAAUAAAGCAGAGGAAGUAGAGGUAAAGAGCAUAAUGGUCUACUUGAAGAACUCCAUAACCCAAAAAUUGUUUACAUGACAUUCAUAUCUGAUGCCACUGAAUCCAGCUGCUCUUGCCAAUUUCAUGAACUCUUCUUCACAUCGUUCUUUACCUCCCUCGUGCUGAGUCAUCAUCAAAACAUCCAGUUGUGAAACCCCCUUAUAAGCAUUACUAGUCUCUGGUGUUUUUGGAAGAACUGCCUCCACAACUAUCACCUUUCCAUCAUCAGGAAUUGCAUCAUAACAAUUCUUCAACAGCUUCACACAAUGUUCAUCACUCCAAUCAUGAACUAUCCACUGCACAGUUUACUUAAUGUCAAAGCUCAUUGAAGAUUGGUAUAAGUUUCAUGCAUCAGUUUCAAUAAAUCAAACUUUCAAUCAACUGCUAUUCAUAUUCAACAUAAGAAACACGUUCGUAGUGGUUAGAAGUUUAAGCUAAAGUAAAAAGGGUGUUUGAUAAAAGGAGAGAUUCCUCUCCUCUUUAAAAUUAAAUACUAUAUAUUUCCCUAGCACCCAUCAUUAUGAAUUGACCAAAAUCCCCUGUAAGACAGCCACACUUACCUUCAUAAAUAUGGCGUCUCCUUUUGGCACAUUUUCAAACAUAUCUCCCCCAACGUGUUCCACUCCUGCAAUAUUAGGUACCUUUUGCUUUUAAAACUCAACAUCAUAUAUUAUUAACAAAGAAAGUAUUGGACUCUAAGCAAGUAAAUAGUACACACUAUUUAUGUUAUUGUCUUGUAAAACUCUAAAUUUACCAAAUAAGUCUUCAAAGGACAAAAAGAACAUUUUUUUUUUAAUUUUGCAGAACCACAGAAUUGGAAUGUGUAAGGAUGAUACCAGGAUAGGAAGGAGCCUCUUGAAUGACAUGAGGCAAGUCGAAAUUGAUGCCAUGAAUAUGAGGGUAUUUAGAAGUGAUCAAGUUAAUGUUGAUUCCAAGACCACCAGCAACAUCUACCAGUGUUUUUAUGCCCUCAAAACCUUUGUAGGAUUCCAGAACCUUCUUCAUAACCAAAGUGGUGUGAUUGAUCAUAGCUGUGUUGAAAACCUUGUUGAAUCUUGAGUCCAAACGUGGAUAGUCAAAAGCAUGAGUGCCAUAAACCCUGUUGAAUGGAACACCCCCCUCCCUAAUUGCAUCUUUCAGCUCACUCCUAUUUUAAAACAUACCAAUAUGUUUGUGAGGGAAAAGGAGAUAAAAUGAUAAUAGUUGAGAGAGAGAGAGAGAGUUGAACCAGCUUUGUAGGAAGAUUUUGUCUUGGAGUAAGGCCAUCACGGGCCCCAAGGAAACUCCAUCAGAAUUGGGAGCAAAGAAUGCGGCGACGGGAGUGAUGGUGUAGAGGCGGUGAAAGGUGGGAGGAAGACGGUGGUCGGAAGUGAGGGAAGAGUUAAGAAUGGAGUGAGAAGAAAGAAGUGCAAGGAGACGAUCUAUCAUUGAGGCUGCUUCUGGGUUACUGCAACCAAUCUUUGAUGCUAUUUCCUUAGCAGACACCUUAGCACCUUCUCCGGCUUCUUUCAGCACCUCAAAGACUCCCAGCUCCGUCGCCGAUUGCACUGCCAUGGAAAGGACCACGGAAGUCGCAAGCUGCAUGGCACGGGAGAAGCUUUCUGCAUCUUCUUCCUUCCUCUUCUCUUCAUCAUUCAGCGUUGAAUCUGGAAGGCUUGCCAUCUCCACUUCAACCUGCAAUCGUUCACCAACUUCUCCACUAUAUAUUAAACCAUCCAUUGAAAACCUUUAUACUUUAUUAUUCUGAGAUACUUAUAAUAAUUUGGGUGUUGAUAUGUCAACACCACAAUAAAAAACCAUUCGUUGACAAAUCAAUAAAAUAAUAUUUUAAUUAUAUUUAAUUUAUUUUAAAUUUUCAAAUAUUAUUAUAAUAUAAUGUUAAGUAUAUGCUUUUUAUUGUGUGUAGGAUAAUAUUUUUUAGUUAUAAGGCAUUAUUUUAAAGAGACAACACUAAUAUUUUGAAGGUAAUAAAUAACAUUUUUUAAUAAACAUUGUUUAUGGUGGUGUGGUGGCUAGCUAAGAACUUUAUUAUGAGUCUAAAUAAUUGAUUAGAUGAUUGGCAAAUUAAUACAAUUGUAAAUGGAAAACCCAAUUUCCUUAUAAAUAACACCUCUGACCUUUGAUGGAGCUUGAGAAGUUUGUUGCAUGGAUUAGGGUUUUUGAUAUAUAAAAGCUUUUCAAUCCUUAUAAAUUAAUAUAAUGAAAUAUGUAGUAGCAGAAAUAGUUGUAGACAAAAUAAUAUUAUCUGAAUGCGGUGUUUUAGCUAGGUAUUCAGUGAAAUCAGACCGCCACAAUUUAAUUCAUUUUGAUGGAAAAUUGUGCGUACAACAGUUUCCAAUGAGAUAGUAUAUCCCUCAAAGAUAGACUCAAAUUGAAGAUCAAGAAUUAUUGAAAAUCAAAAUUAUGAUUUAACUUCAAAAUAUUUAUACUUACUUAAAUAAAUCUUAAUUUAUUUCCUUUUCUUGCAUCAAGUUAGCAUGGAUCAAAAAAAUUGUAUAAAAAAAAUAGACUUUUAGUUCAAUUCUUUCCUUAUCAUUAUUUCUUCUUUUCAUAUAUUUUUCUAAUUAUUAUUCUUUAUUUUUUUUUAAAGUUUCCUCUGCCUCACACUUUUCCAUUCUUUUGUUUAAAAUUUCUUGCUUCAUUUGUAUUUUUUUUUUCAAAACCAAAUUUUAUUGUGUGUGUUCAAGAUCACUUUCAUCUUUAUCAUAUUUUAAUUUAGAAAAUUAUCUUCUUCUUAUUUGAAAAUCUCACAAUUCCUUUUUCUCUGUUGAUAUUUGAUUUUUUUUUUAUCUGUAAUGAAUUAAUUAAAUAAAAAGAAACUCUUUCCAACAUGUAUACAUAGAACUCCUAAUAAAACUACCUACAAUACAUGCAUGCUAACUAAGAGACACACCACUUAGUUCCAAAAGAGCUAUGUAAUUACAACCCCAAAACCUGCUUCAAACCAACAAACAAAACCUGUUAGUACAUAUAGGCAUAGCUUGCUACCAGCCCACCAAGCAAGCCACUAACACUCUAACCAGAAAGCAAAACAACAACAUCUCAGACACCUUCCUCGGUAAGCAGAAACCAGAUGAGAAAGCAGUUGCUACUCCAUGAUCUCUUCUCCCUUACAUUCUAUACAAUAUGGCAUAUCUGCACCUUUGUAACCAGCUUCUACCAGGAAACCCUUAGUAGAAAAACAUCAACAAGAUAAAGCUACACUUUUAUAGAAUCUACAUAACACAUUAAACAGAGGAAAAACAUGUGUGCUUGGCUGUGAUUGACCACCAGCUCACUGCUGCAUGACCUGAAAAAAAGCAAUAGACUAUACCAGAACCUAUACCUGUUCAAUUCACUCUGCACCGAAAAACAAGAAACAACUCUUUUGGUCGUUAGACUUGCUCUCCACUCAUGGCAGACAACUAUACCAAACACCACCGCAUGCAGCAUCAAGCUUUAAAUUACUGCAUCAGAGUAAUAAAAUCUAUCCUCCAGAAAGCACUAAUCCGAACCAUUUCCUGUCUAUACCUUCCUUGACCUGCAGAAACCUGUAUGGUCAGGACUACACCACACAACACCCAGCACAAGAACCACCCUCUUAGCACUCUGCUACCAACCCCUGCAGCACUAGAGCCUGCACCACGGCAGUGGGUCUUGGACCCUCUUUUCUAGACACAACUCCUCUAAAAUAAAAUCCAAAGAAACACUUUCUACCCUGCUUAAGCUCACACCCAGUUACUUAAAGCUUUUAACGCAUAUAGACGGAUUAAGUACCCAAUCCACAAAGAGUAGUUGAAGGUAUAUGUCCUAUGCUUCAUCCAUAACCACGACUUGAGCUGAGUCAUAUGAAAAACCUCUUCAACAUUUACAACUCCCUCCUUAAAAAGAAUAGAGUUUCUCUAGUUAAUUACAAGAUUAUGCAGAUAUAUUUUCCAGAUGCACACACACUGAUAUUAGAUUGAAAAACAGUGAAACACAAAAACAGCAAACCUUAAUUCCAAAUAAUGUGAUUUAGGUUCAGUUAAGGGCUUGACAAUUAGUGAGGCAAUCUAUCACACUCAACUUGUUUUACUAGCCUUUAACAGAUUAUCAGUGUUCUUAUUGAAACCAGACAGUUUUCCAGAAAUUAAGAACAGUAUGCACAGCGCCCAGAAAGAACACAUUUAUUUUCAAUUGAACAGAUUUAUUUCUUUGCUGUUUUAUCAAUUAUGCAGAAACGAAAUUGCAGAGAGUGAGAGAGAAUGAACACAAGCAGUUAUACUGGUUCACUCAACUGAGCUACAUCCAGUCUUCACCAAAACCAGGUGGAAAUCACUAAAACACAGUACAACCAAGUACAAUUCCCACUGUUCUUGAAACCUACAAGAACUUAGGUACUCUUGCUGAAAAAACCUAUUUCAGCUCACACACACUCUCCAAGAAAACCUAUCAAGAAGAGUGUUCAACCAAACNNNNNNNNNNNNNNNNNNNNNNNNNNNNNNNNNNNNNNNNNNNNNNNNNNNNNNNNNNNNNNNNNNNNNNNNNNNNNNNNNNNNNNNNNNNNNNNNNNNNNNNNNNNNNNNNNNNNNNNNNNNNNNNNNNNNNNNNNNNNNNNNNNNNNNNNNNNNNNNNNNNNNNNNNNNNNNNNNNNNNNNNNNNNNNNNNNNNNNNNNNNNNNNNNNNNNNNNNNNNNNNNNNNNNNNNNNNNNNNNNNNNNNNNNNNNNNNNNNNNNNNNNNNNNNNNNNNNNNNNNNNNNNNNNNNNNNNNNNNNNNNNNNNNNNNNNNNNNNNNNNNNNNNNNNNNNNNNNNNNNNNNNNNNNNNNNNNNNNNNNNNNNNNNNNNNNNNNNNNNNNNNNNNNNNNNNNNNNNNNNNNNNNNNNNNNNNNNNNNNNNNNNNNNNNNNNNNNNNNNNCUUUAGAAAAGAACAGAUUUAUUUUUAUGCAGUAAACGUGUUUUUUUGAAAAAUAGUUUAAGAAAACUUAUGCUUGUUCUUAUCACAUGGCCAGUGGUUAUGAGGUGAGUUACUCAGCAAAAAGCCCUCUUAAACAACCUCUAAGCACUGCCUAAGACACACUUAAAGCAAAACAAAAAUACACAUGAAAUGUACAUAAAAGUCUUCAUCAAACACAAUCUUGAAGGGGCAGCAACCAUCUUCAACAAUCUCCCCCUGUUUGAUGGAGACAAAUCCCCAUAGCUAACCUCAUAGCUUUGUUGCUUUAAGAACCUGCACUGCACCAGAUUUUAAACCAGAAAAAAACAGCAGUAUUGCAUAACAUGAGAAAUGGUUUUAAGGUGCAGAAUUAACUCCCUGUUUCAGCUAGCUUCACCUAGCAUGGUGAGCUAUUUUUCAGCAGCUAUUUUUCUCCCCCUUUGGAUUCAUCAAACAGCAUAUAAGCAUAGGGAAAACAAAAAUGAAACAAAAACCAUAACCAUAAUAGUUCAGAAAAUAAAACCAUAUUGUUCAGCAUUACAGACAUUUGAAAACUGAUAAAGAAAGCAUUAAAAACAGAAGACUACUGGUCUGACACAAAUAGAUGUUGACAUGAUCCCUCCUUGGUCUGACACAAAACACUUUAGUUAGUUGAUAAAAAUAAUCAUAUCCAAUAGUUCAACUUCAAAUUAAAAUUUUGUAUCUAUUUGAUUAUAUUGGUUUAGGUCUCAAGGAUUUGAAGAAUUUUUAACUUUUUUUUAACUAUUACUUGGAUAAAAAGUAACUUUCAAUAGUUUGAUUAUUGAAGUUGGUAGUCUGUGUACUGAAAUUAAAUAGAUAAAUGUAGAUGUGUAGAAGGACUCUUGAAAUUGAUGAUGAUAUGUAAUGUAACACUACCAGAAAAUCAUGAAAUAGUAACCAAUUUUAGAAAAAAAAAAAUAAUUAGUUGUUAUAGUGACUAAAUUAGAGACCAUUUUAGAAACUAAAAAAAACUUUUGCCUUCUAAAUUAGUUUCUAUUAUGGUUAUAUAGUUUAUAAAUUGGUAUUUAAUUAGCUACCAAAGUUUUUGGUAUCAAAUUAGAUUCUAAAUAAUUAGUAGUUAAAACCUUGGUAGCUAAUUAAAUACCAAUUUAAAAACUAUUUAACAAUAAUAAAAACUAAUUUAGAAACGAAUUUUUUUUAGUCUCUAAAAUGGUCUCUAAUUUAGUCAUUAUAACAACUAAUUAUUUAUUGUUUCUAAAAUUGGUUUCUAUUUCAAGAUUUUCUUGUAGUGUAAGGUUCAAAUUGAGUAUUAUUAUUAGUAACGCUAUAAGAAAAUAAUUAAAUAUCAAUUAAUUUAGAUAAAAAAAUUAAUUAUUAUAUUGAUUAAUCUAUAAAUUAAAAAAUUAUUAAUAUUUACAUUAGUUUCUAUUAGUAAUAAAAGUUUAUAAAAUAGUUUUUAAAUUAUUUAACCUUAACUAUCAAGGUUUUAGUACUAAUUACUUAAAAUUAUAAAUUAGUCAUUCAUUUAAUUAAAGACUAUUUUAUAAUCUAAAGUAGUUAAUAACUAAAAUCUUGGUAGCUAAUAUUAUAUAUCAAUUUGAAAAUUAUAAAUUUUUAUUGAUAAUAGAAACUAAUUACUAAUAAUUUUUUAGUUUAUAAAAUAAUAUCUAAGUUAAUAAUAUAAUGACUAAUUGUUUUUUAUCUCUAAAUUAGUUCUUAUUUAAUGAUUUUUUUAUAGUGUAAAAUAUUCUUUAACUAAGUCCAAAACUAUGUUUAACCCUAGUUAGGACUAUGAAAUUUAUUAGAAUUGAUUUUCGAUUGGUUUUUAACUUUAUGCACAAAUUGUUGUUUUCUCCAUAUCUUAUUUGAGUGUUGAGAUUGCUCUAGUGAUGCUCAAGUGAUAACUUUAAUCUUAAGUGCACAACAUCAGUUUGAGUAAGAGAGAGAAAUUAACGAUUCUCUUUUGUCUUGAAAUUUAUCACUCAGAUGAUGAUUGGUCGCUAAAGUGAUGGUCACUUUAGCAAUGGAGUUUUGUAGGUUUGACUAAGUUUUUUAUUUACCUUUUCUUAAAGGGUUUAUCAUUAAAGUGUUGCUUUAAAGUUCAAGCCGUGAUAAAUAUUGAUCAAGCAACAUAUUAUAGCUUGUGUGAGAAAGAUUUGCUUUAAUUUAGAUACUACACAGAGCAUGAGUAAGAAGUUUAAGUGAUAAAAACUCUUUCAAACCACAUUACACAACUAACUUCAGUGAAGAAACUCUGGUGACAUAUUUUCAUGUGUUUUUUUAUUAGUUAGUUAAGCAUCUAUCUUCACUUAAAUGAUGUUGCAUUGGUUUAGACAAUUAUUGAAAUUGUUAUUAAUAAAAUACCAAUACAAGAAAAUUUGUUAUUUCAUACUGGAUUUGGAUUCAUAUAUAAAUUUGCACCUACCUUCAAAUUUUACCAACAAAUUAUUACUCCAGAUAAAAUUGAGUUACUUUGUUAAUGAAAAUGCCGUUAUUAGUUUUAUAGUUCAACCAAUAUUUAAACUGUCACUAUUAGUGUUUUAAUGACAAUAUAACAAAAAAUUAUCAUCCUAAAUGGACUCAAUAAUGAUGAAUAAUAAAGCAAAAUCUGUCAAAAAAAUAAAAAAUAAAAUUUUGAUGGAACACUAAUAAGUACGUUGACGACCAUAAAGUUCGAGAGUCAAAUACUAUGCAUAAACAAAUUGUAGCAAGACUUAAGAUUUUGGGAUCGACUAUAAAUGAAAAAAAUCUUUAUAAAAUUUAUUUUAAACUCAUCAUUAUCUGAGUAUAGCUCAUUUUAAAUGACCAAUAAUACCAUAGCACAACAAGUUGGUUCAAGAAACACUAGUACAAAAUAUGAAAAUAAUGACCAUUUAUUUAGUGCGGCUUUGCGCUUAAACGCAUUUGCAAAAAACGCGGUGACAUUUUUGAAAUUAAAUUGUUUUACAAAUGCGGUUCUAGAGUAAGACCGCAUUUGUAAAUCAAUUCAAAUUAUUUACAAAUGCGGUCUUUACUAUGACCGCAUUUGUAAUUAAUUUCACAUUGAUUUACAAAUGCGAUCUUACUCUAGAACCACAUUUGUAAAACAAUUUUACCGUACAUUGAUUUAUUGAUCUGUGUACUUGGUAGUUUGAGUACUGAAAUUAGAUGGAUUCUUGAAAUUGAUGAUGGUAUGUAAAGUAAGGUUCAAAUUGAGUAUUAUUAUUAAUAAUGUUAUAAGAAAAUAAUUAAAUAGUUAUUAAUUUGGAUAAAAAUAAUUAUUAUUAUAUUGAUUAACUUGAUACUAUUUUAUAAAAUAAAAAGUUAUUGGCUACAUAAGUUUUUAUUAGUAAUAAAAGUUUAUAAAAUAGUUUUAAAUUGAUAUUUAAUAUUAACUAUAAAUAGUUUAUAAAGGUUUUAAUAAUAAUUACUUUACAUUAUAAAUUAGUCACUUAUUUAAUUAAUUAAAGACUCUAAAAUAGUUAGUAACUAAAAUCUUGGUAGCUAAUAUUAUAUAUCAAUUUGAAAAAUAUUUUAUAAAUUUUUAUUAAUAAUAGAAACUAUUUACUAAUAAUUUUUUAGUUUAUAAAAUAGUAUCUAACUUAAUAAUAUAAUGACUAAUUAUUUUUUAUCUUUAAAUUAGUUGUUAUUUAAUUAUUUUUUUGUAGUGUAAAAUAUUAUUUAACUUAGUCUAAAACUAUGUUUAACCCUUGUUAGGACUAUGAAAUUUAUUAGAAUUGGUUUUCGAUGAGUUUUGAGCUUUAUGUAGAAAUUGUUGUUUUCUCCAUAUCUUAUUUGAGUCUUGAGAUUUUUCGACUCACACGAUAACUAUAAUAUUAAGUGCACAAUAUCAUUACUUGAGUAAGAGAGAAGAAAUAACAAUUCUCUUUUUCUCUUGAAAUUUAUCGCUCAAAUGAUGAUUGGUCGCUAAAGUGAUGAUCACUUUAGCAAUGGAGUUUUGGAGGUUUGACUAAGUUUUCAUUUACCUUUUUCUUAAGUUAGAGAAGGGUGUAUCAUUAAAGUGUUGUUUUAAAAUUCAAGUAAUGAGAAAUAUUGAUCAAGCAACAUAUUGUAGCUUGAGUGAGAAAGAUCUUGAUAAAUAAUUUUGCUUUAAUUUAGAUAGUACACAAAGCAUGGGUUAGACGCUUAAGUGAUAAAAACUCUUUCAAACCACAUUACACAACUUGAGUAGUGGUUCACAUUUAUUUUAUUUAUUUUUUAUUGUUGAUAAAAAAAAAUACAACUUGAGUGAAGAAACUUUGGUGACAUAUUUUCAUGUGUUUUUUUAUUAGUUACUUAGGCAACCUAUCUUCACUUAAGUUGAUUGAUUUAUACUGGAUUUGGAUUCAUAUAUAAAUUUUCACCUACCUUCAAAUUUUACCUACGAAUUAUUAUUACAGGUAAAAUUGAGUUACCUUGUCAAUGAAAAUGUCAUUGUAAGUUUUAUAGUUCAAUCAAGACUUAAACCGUCACUAUUAGUGUUUUAAUGACAAUUUAGCACAAAAUUAUCAUCCUAAAUGGACUCAAUAAUGAUGAAUAAUAAAGACAAAUCUGUCAAGAAAAUAAAAAAGAAAAAUUGAUGGAAUGCUAAUAAGUACGUUGACCACCAUAAAGUUUGAGGAGUCAAAUACUACUCAUAAACAAAUUGUAGCAAAACUUAAGAUAUUGGAAUUGACUAUGAAUGAAAAAAUCCUUAUAAAAUUUAUUUUAAACUUAUCAUUAUCUGAGUAUAGCUCAUUUCAAAUAACCUAUAAUACCAUACUAAAAAAUGGAAUGUAUCAAAUUGCACAACAACUUGGUUCAAGAAAGAACAAGGUUUAAAAAUUAGGAAAAGUAACUUAGUUUAUUAUGUAAGUCAUAAAAAAAGUUAAAGAACUAGAAAAAAAUUUAUGAGAAAACAUGAUAUAGGUAUGUUAAAGGUUAAUCAAACAUCUAAAAAUCUAAAAGACAAUAAUCGUCAUUUAUGUGAAAAACUUUCAUAUUUUGAGAAGGAUUACUGAAAACAUAAAGUUUUGGUUCAAAAGAAGGUAAAACUUAAUGUUUACCUAUACUAAUCAAAUUUAACUAAAGGAGGGAUUACUUAGUGUUUAAAUCAUAAGUUUAAAUAAAAUAUUCUUUAUAAAAAAAUAAAGUGAUGAAAACUCUAGUGGAAGCGGUCUGAUCUUAUCUUUUACAUAUUUUAAUUUUUUUAAUUUUAUUUUAUUAAUAUGAAAAGUGAAUAUAACAUAAUAUAUUACACACCAUGAGUUUAUUCUGUUACUUUAAAAUGUAUAAAAACAAACAUGAAACACAUAAACAAGCAAUUAGAAAUAACACUAAGGAAAUUAUCUCAGUUAAAGAAAUUCAUGAAAUAAAAACUAAUUUUAAGAACAAAAAAUAAUUAGUUCGUUAUAGUGAUUAAAUUAGAAACAUUUUAUAAAUUAAAAAAACUUUUGGUUUCUAAACUAGUUCCUAUCAUUAUUAAAUAGUUUUCUCUAAUUAACUACCAAAGUUUAAACUACCAAUUAUUUAGAUUUUAAAAUAUUCUUUAAUUUAGUCACUAUAACUCCCAAUUUUUUUUUUAUGUCUUACAACCAAAGUAUCCUAGGUAUAUGUGUUUGUUGAUUUUUUGGUGAAUUGUAUUUGUAGAGAUAAUGCAUGUAUAAGGGUUGGAACACUCCUAAAAUGUUUCAUUUAUUUUAUUUUAUAUAUUCACUGAUAAAAAAUAUUAAUUAUUUUUUAUCUUUAAAAUUGAUUUUUAUUUCAUAUGAUAAGAGACAGAUUCUUCUACUUGAUGAACUCCAUAACCUCUAAAAUGUUGACGUGACAUUCAUAUCUGAUGCCACUGAAUCCAGCUGCUCUUGCCAAUUCCAUGAACUCUUCUUCACAUCGCUCUUUACCUCCUGGGUUCUGAGUCAUCAUCGCAACAUCCAUUUGUGCAACCCCCUUAUAAGCAUUAUUAGUCUCUGGUAACUUUGGAAGAAUUGACUCCACAACUAUCACCUUUCCAUCAUCAGGAAUUGCAUCAUAGCAAUUCUUCAACAGCUUCACACAAUGUUCAUCACUCCAGUCAUGAAGUAUCCACUGUACAAUUACUUAAUGUCAAACCCCAUUGAAUAUAACUCAUGCAUCAGUUUGAACUAAACUCUUUUUUCAACCAACUAUUAUUCAUAUAUUUCCCUCCUCACUGACACUUUACCUUCAUAAAUAUGGCGUCUCCUUUAGGCACACUUUCAAACAUGUCUCCCUCAACGUGUUCCACUCCUGCAAAAUCUUAUUGUCUUGUAAAAUCUCAAAGUUGACCAAAUAAGUCUUCAAAAGACGAAAAGAACAUAUUUUUUUUUUAAAUUUAGAUUGGAACGUGUAAGGGUGAUACCAGGAUAGGAAGGAGCAUCUCGAAUGACAUGAGGCAAGUCGAAAUUGAUGCCAUGAAUAUCAGGGUAUUUAGAAGUGACCAAGUUAAUGUUGAUUCCAAGACCACCACCAACAUCCACCAGUGUUUUUAUGCCCUCAAAACCUUUGUAGGAUUCCACAACCUUCUUCAUCACCAAAGUGGUGUGAUUGAUCAUUGCUGUGUUGAAAGCCUUAUUGAAUCUUGAGUCCAAACGUGGAUAGUCAAAAGCAUGAGUGCCAUGAACCCUGUUGAAUGGAAUACCCCCCUCCCUAAUUGCAUCUUUCAGCUCACUCCUAAUAAUGUAUAAACAAACUUAUUUCACUUGAGCAAAUGAAGAAACAUUUACUUCCAAUCACAUAAUUUAGCAGAUCGCAUACAAUCAUAAUGCUGAAAUAGCAAACCCUGUUUUGACUCAAUCAUGUGGCUUUAUUCUUUUAUUUUAUCACAACACUUAUCACCCGCAUUAAAUUUGAACUAUUGUAUCCCUUUGAUUAGCAAGAGAGAGAAUGAAAGAUUGCAACAUCAAGGAGUCAAAACUGUGACCAACGACAAACAAAUUGCACACAGACCAUGACAAAGUUUGUAGAGAAUCAUCACUAGUUUUUUUGGUAUAAUUUAAGAGUGAAGUGUUGGAUUUCUUUAAGAUUUUACUUUAGAUCAAUUGAAGGUUUUGAUCCUUUAAAAAAAAUAAUAUAAUAGUUGAAAGAGAGUGAGUUGAACCAGCUUUGUAGGAAGAUUUUGUCUUGGACCAAGGCCAUCGCGGGCCACAACGAAACUCCAUCAGAAUUGGGAACAAAGAAUGCGGCGACGGGAGUCAUGGUGUAGAGCCGGUGAAAGGUGGGAGGAACACGGUGGUCGGAAGCGAGGGAAGAGUUAAGAAUGGAGUGAGAAGAAAGAAGUGCGAGGAGACGAUCUAGCAUUGAGGCUGCUUCUGGGUUACUGCAACUAAUCUUUGAUGCUAUUUCCUUAGCAGAAAGCUUAGCACCUUCUCCCGCUUCUUGCAGCACCUCAAACACUCCCAGCUCCGUCGCCGAUUGCACUGCCAUCGGAAGGACCACCGAACCUACAAUCUCCAUGGCUCGCGAGAAGCUUUCUGCAUCUUCUAUUUCUGAAUCUGGAAGGGUUGCCAUCUCCACUUGAACACCUGCAAAUCACUCACAACUUCCACACCUUAAACUAGUAUAUAUUUACACACUACUCUUCUUCUUUCCCUUACGAAGACAAGAAAGAGAAGAGAAGGGAAGAAAAAAGAAGAGGUCUAUAUAUAAAGGGAAAAAAUCUUAUCCUUAACCUUCCUUUUUCAGUGCUUUUUUUUAAGGUAUUUUUUUACAAAUUAAACAAUUUUCUUCUUUAAUUUUAUAGUUUUGAAUAGGCUGCUAUAUAUUAACACAUUCAACCCUAAAAACACACAUUUCCCGUUAUAAUAAGUUAAUAUUUUAUUUUAUUUUUUAAUUUAAUAAUAUUAUUAUAUUAUUAUAAACAGUGUCAAAUGUAAUUUUUUUUACUGUUUAUGUGUUCAUGCAAUAUUUUUCUCUUUUGAAUAAACAUAUUUCAAUGAUAAUAAAUAAUUUAAAAUUAAUUUCUCUGAAUUUAAAAUAAAUGAUACUUGUUUAGCUAAAGUAAAUAUAAUGUGUAUUUUUUAUAAUAAAAAUAAUUAUGAAUAAUUACUGCAAUAUUUAUUAUUUUAGUGAAACUAUCUAUGGUAACUCUCUUGUAAAACAAACAUGACUUACGAAUCAAUAUUGAUCAUCAUUUUUUAGCCAUGAUUUUUAAGCUACAUUUUUGUGAAAUGACUUUUAAAAAAAAUGCAUCACGGGAAAAGUAGUGUGACCUAAAAUAAUAAAAAUAUGGAAAUUUUUCUAUUUUGAAAAUAGAAGGAAAUUUUUUUAGAAAUGUAACUUACAAAUAUUAUACAUCAUGUGUCAUAAAAGGUGGAUAAUUUAAACCACAGAAUUUUUAAUGUGGCUUAUAAUAAUUAUCAAUAAACAAUAAAAAAAUUGUGAACUAAAAACCUCUAUCUUAUAGUUAAAAUCUUUAAAAUUAAAUCUAUGAUAUUUUUUUUUUUAUGUUUUUAAAUAUUAUACGGAGGUUUUGAAACUUAUGAUAUUGUAUGGAGAUUCUUAAACCCAUUAUAUUUAACCGAGGUUCUAAAAGAUGAAAUUAAAAAAUCCUUAAAGAACAUGUUUUUUUUAUGAAUGGUUUAGCGUGUAACUUUAGAUAAAUAACUUAAUAAAAAAUUUUACCUCGAAUAAUGUAAAAAGAAACCACUUUUUUUCUUAUAGUUUUUAUAUGUGUUUUCAUUAAUGAAUAUAUAUAUUUUCUUUAAUAAUAUAUUGUAAAUUUUUUGUUGAGUUAACUUUACAAUAUGUUAUAUAUAGGUUUCUUUUGAAUUAUUCAGAAGUUUAUAUUGAAAAGAAUGGAAUAAAAAUUUGAGAAGGAAGACCAUCAUGAUUCAUACAAUUAACUACUGUCUGAAAAUAAUUUUUAAAUAUGUUUUUUAAUUGAAACCCGAAAAAUUAUCAUAAGUUUUUGUGAUGUCAUAAAAGUAUAAAAAUGGAAUAUCUUUUCAAUCUAAUGUAAAAAUAAGGCAGAAUGUUAAUUAUAAUAUUGGAAAUGAUUUUUACUAUUUCUUCUGUAAUUGGCUAGAUUUUGUAUAAAUUGUCAAAAUACUCCUAAUUAAUCAAUUUAAGAAGUCUAAAAUUGAUUUUUAGUGAGAAUAUUUUGAUACUUUUUAUCUUUAAAAGUUGAAGUCAAGUUUAUCAGAAUGAUCAUGAGUACUUUGAUUAUUUUAUACAAAAUUAUAUAACUAUAGUAAAAAUUUUAUAAUUAUGUAAUAUUGUAGAUCAUAUUAUAAGUGUAAAAUAAAGUUCUGAAUAUUGUGCUUAUUGUUAUCACUGUAAAGUAAAGUAAUAAACUAAAUUACUGCUGUUCAAUUUGACCGUUCUGAAAAUAAAAUAUAUUACCCUUAUGAUCAAAUUGAUAAUACUGUUAGUGAUGAUUUGCAAAUUUUUAAAAAAAAAUCCUUUAACUCUUAUUUGUAAAGGAAUCCAUCCAUUAUUACCCUGUUAGGGAUAAUACUAUGAGUUAAAUCCACUAAAAAACGAUCAUUUACCUUCCACGGUGAUUUAACUUUCAUAUGUAUGUGUGAGUUCACAUUUAACUUUCAUAUGUAUGUGUGAGUUAAGUGUGAACGUGAUUUUUUUAGACCAAAUCCAUGCAAAAUUGAUGCAAAAGUAUAUUUUUUUGGAAAUCUGACGCAUAAUAGACGUAAAUAUAGAUUUAAAUAAAAAAUGGACUAUAAUUUAUAUUUAUUUAAUGUAUAAUAUGGUAAAAAAUAUUAUAAUUUUUACUUGUUUAUUGUAUUUAUUUUAAUUUUUUUAAUAAUUUUGGUAUAUGUUAGUUAAUAAAUUGAUUACGUGUUUAUUUUUAAAUUAUUUUAAAAAAAUAUCUUAAACAAUUUAAAAAGAAUUGAAAAAUGUUAAAAAAUAAUAAUUGAGUAAAAGAAAAAAUGUAAUUAAAUUUAUAAAUGUUAUACAAAAUACUUAAAUUUUUUAAAAAUUAAUUAUUUUAAUUUAAUUUCAUUUAUAAUAAGUAUUUAGAUAUAAAUUAGUUAAAUUAAAUUUAUUAAAUUGAUUAAUAGUUUAAUUUAAAAUUAUUUAAAGAAUUAUCCUAUAAAGUUUAUAAAGAAUUGAAAGAUGUAGAAAAAUAAUAAUUGGGUAAAAAAAUACAUAUUUAAAUUUUUAAAAUAUUAUGUAUUUAUUUUUUGUUGUAUAAAUUAAAUAUAUGUUUUGUUCUAUAAAUGAAAUUAAGUUUUUUUUUCUAUAAAUUAAAAUAAAUUUUUGUUGUAUAAAUUGAAUUUAAUUGUUUUGUAUAAAUUAAAGAAAGUUUUUCUUAUAAAUUAUAUCAUUUUUUUAUACAUUAAAUUUAUUUAUUUGUUAUAUAAAUUUAAAAUAAAAUAAAUUAAAUUUUUGAAAGUUUGAAUAUAAUUUUUAUUAAAUUAUAUUUAAGCUACAUACUUAUGAAAAUUUUCAAGUGCCUCACAUUAAUAAUAAUAAGUAUAAUAAAAAUCAUAAUAUUACAAAAGAAUUUGUCUGGUUUAGUGGUUAAAGCUUAUUUGGUCACGGAAAAAAAUAAAUAAUCACUUGACAACUUAACUUUUAAGAGUAAUGUGAUUAUUGAAUUUUUUUUUUAAUUAUAAGAAAAAAUGAAAAUAUGUUUUUAUUUAAUUUAACAAAACUUAUUUUCUAAUUAGUUAUUUUGACCAUUCAAUACCCAAGUUUUUUUUGUUUUAUUGAUGAAUGUUCUUUUUGAAAAUUCUACUAUAUCAAAAUUCAAGUCUUUUUUUCUACUAGAGUCACUACAAAAAUUUAUUAUUUUAAUAGAGAUUUAUUCGUGGAGGUUUUUAUAACAUCUGGUAAUGGACACUGUUAGUAGAGGUUUCUUAAAUCCCUGAUAAACAUCAAUAGUUUUUUAAUAAGUCAAAGUAAAAUAUUUCAAUUUUCUUCCUUUCUCCUAGAGAAACAAUGCUCUCUAACGUCAACCCUAGGUUAUUUCUCACAUUUUUUGUUUUCAUUUCCAACUUUCAAAAUCCAACAAGACCCCAUUCUCUUCUUUCACUCUCUAUUUCGUCUUCUAUUUUCAUCCUCAUCUAGCAAUCAUCUCUUUCUCUCGCAUUAUUUUCAUCAUCAUCUUCUAUUUGACUCUGGCUCAGAUUCACUUUUCCAAGCCUUCAGGAAGAGAGUGGCAAUGUUGUAUUCCAGGAAGAGCGAGUCAAUAUAUAACUUCUUCUAUUUCAUCAUUCCAAACUAUGUACACAUACGAAGAAACUAAUUUCAUAUUUUUCUGAUAGAAACUGAUUGAAGGAAGAUUUGGUGAUGUAAUGGAGGAAGUCGUGAGGACUCACCAAGCUAUCAAGUAAGACAGAAAUCUCUCACUUAAUUUUAACCUCUAACUUUGACUUGUCUGUUUACUUAACAUAUGUAAUCUUUAACAAAAAUAUUAACAAGAAAAUACGAUAGAGUAACGUGUAUAGAGUAACGUGUAUAGAGUGAUGCAAUAAUGUAUUAGAGUAUUGUAUCAGUAUUUCCAUUGCAUAUUAGAAUUUAGUUAAUGAAACCCAGUUUUAACAAUGAGAGAUGGAAUUUGUGAAGAAAUGGUGAAUGAGAUUUAUGAAAAAAAAAGGAAGAAAUUGAAAAUGCAUUGAGUUAGUUUGAAUCUGUUUUGAUAUUUGUAUUAAUGUGUGAAAUGAAAGUCUCUAUAUUCUAAUGGAAGAUGAAGAGCUCUUUCUGUGGCAAUCAUGCUCCUAUUCUUCAAUAUCAUAAUCAUUUCCGACAAAGUUAUUAGCUGUAGUGGAAUAGUUUGACUUGCCAAGAUUGAAGCUCAUGUGUGAAUCAAUAUUUUGUAGUGACAUAUCUAUAUAUUUUGUUCCAUAUAUUCUGGUUCUUGCAAAUCGUUAUCGUGCUAAUGAGUUGAAGUCCAUCUGUCAAAAAUUUUGUGUUGAAAACUAUGAUGGUGAGAGUUCCUACUUAACUACUCAAAUUGAGUUUUCAGUUUAGAAUGUUUUAGCCUGAAACAUGGUUUCUGCAUUAGUUGUUAAUGUUUGGAAGUUGAUUCUCAUAUUCUUUCAUCAUUGUCUGUUGCAGCUGUGAAGAAAUCUGGUGGUUUGGAGUAUCUCAGGCAAAGAGGUGAAAGUUCAAAGGUUCACAUUUCUAAUGCUGAUAACAACAACAAUAAUCCAUUAGGCAUUACUUUUAAGAUUUGGAAUGAUCAAGAAAAUUAGUUGAUUAUAAAGACUAUGUACUCUUGAUAAAAAAAAAGAUAAUGUAUUACUUAGAAGGUACCAUGUUUCUUCAUUAUAUUAUUUUGUUGGGUAGUUAGUUGUAUUAAAUAUUAAUUUAUGUUUUCCUAUUUAGCAAAAAUAAAUUGAAUAAACUUGUACUGGAUUUAAUACUUUUACUUUUUGAUGCGAAUUAAAUGAGUUUACAAUGUUUAUGAUAUUCUCAUUAUUAUAACUUUUAUGAAAUAAGUUUAUUAUAUUCUCUAUGAACGUAGAUCCAUGAAGGAACAAGAAAAAAAAUCAUAAUUAGAGGUAGGUACAAAACUUUUGUUCUGCACGGAAACAUUUUCCAAAAAUAUAUGGGAUUAUUAUGAGUCAAGUCUUGCACAAUUAUUUGAGGUUCAGAACAAACUCUACAAUGUAAGACUUGAUUAUUUUCAUUCAAAAAAUUAUCUUGAUGAUGAUAUAUAUAAGUGAUGAAGUACCACAUACUAAUUCAAAUCUAAAACACAAUCACGACCAACUAGAUUUAACUUAUGAUAUAAACAUAUAUAUAUAUAUAUAUAUGCCUCGGUUUCAUCAGUACUUCAUCUCAAAAUAAUAGAUUUUUUAUUAUAAUAUUACUCAUUAUAUGAAUAAUAAUAAUAAAAAGACAAAUUGAAGGGUUAUUUUAUUCAAAAAUUUUAUUAUUUGUCACAUAUUUUUUAUAUAUCCACCUCCUAGAAAUAAUAGGAGUUUUCAAACUGCCGGAAAUAGCGGGAGUUUUCAAAAUCGUCGGAAAUAGUGAGGUUUUCAAACAGUUGAAAAUAGCGGGGGUUUUCAAAACAGUCGGGAAUAACGAAGGUUUUCAAAACUGUUGGAAAUAGUAGGGGUUUUCAAAUUGUCGGGAAUAACAGUAAUCACUUAGCGACGUUGAAUCUUUCAUAGAAAAAGCAAACCGCGAGUAAUACACUUAACAUGGGUUAAAACUGCAAAAAAUAACCCAUUAAAAUUAAUUUAUUUUUGUAGUGAGUAUGUUUUUCUAUAAGAGUAUUUUAAGGGUAUAGUUUUGUCAAGAGUAAUUUUUGUUUGUAACAAGUAGAAUCAGUAUUAUAAAUAGUUUUUCUUUUCCAUUAUAAUCAAAGAUUUACCUUUUCAUAACUUCUGUAAUAAAUUUUCAUUAAAUAGUAAUGUAGAGUGCAAAAAUAAAAUUUUAUAUCUGAUUUAGAACAAUAUUAAAAAACCUUAUGAUAUUUGGUACAAUAUUCUGAAUAACAAAAAAAUAUUUUAUUUCUUAUAACAAAAAUUAUAAUUUCCUAUUCUAACAAAUUUAAAAACUAUUUUAAAUUAAAUUUUUUGAAUAUUUAAAAAAAUUAGAGAAAUUUGAAUUUGAAAAAAAAUAUAAAGAAUCCAAAUUUUACAAUUUUACCCUUUAAAUAACUAUUUUUUUUAAAAUUCAAAUAAUUCUUUCCAAUAAAAAAUAACCUACACAAUAAAAAAAAUUGCAUACAACAAACUUAAAAAAUUAAUUAUUUUUGUAAUAAUUUUUAAUAAAAAUAUUUUUAUAAUUUUAUUUCAAUAGUUAUUAUAAUAAUAAUUUUUUUAUAAAGAAAAAAAGUGUAGUUAUUCCUCUUUAAAAAAAUAUAUUUGUUUACUAUAUAAAAUAAAUAAUUUAUUUUUAUUUUAUUUUAAAAUAAUAAAUAAUUUUUCUUAAAAGUAAUUGAUAUAUAUGGAUAAUAAUUUCUACCUUAUAUAAAUAUUUUUAAAUAAAGAAUAAAAUAUAUUUUAAAUUCAUGUUUUUGUACAUAGUAAGAUUUAUAAUAAUAUUUUAAAUUUAUAUCACAUAUUAAUUAUAUAAUAUUUUAUAAUAAAAUAAAAUAAAAAUGCACUUAUAGGUCUGUGUUUUCAUUAGUUAGUAAUAAUAAUAAUAAAGAUAAAAGUAAUGUAUUUAUUCUAAAACAAUAUGCACAAAGUUUUUUCGGAUUCUGUAUAAAUGGUCAAAAAUUCACCUUUUUUUUCAUUAAAAGUGAUGCAUAUUACGAAAAUUUCAUUACUCCAAUCUCUUAUAGUCAAAUUGUUGGAAUGGAGUUCCAAUUUUGUCAUGGUUUGUUAGUGCUUUAUUAAUAUAAUUUUGGCAAAAAUUUGGUGUUUGAUACAAAACUUAAGAAUUAAAAAAUUACAAUCUUUUUCUAAAUUAAUUUAUGCACAAGAUAAUUUUAUAAUUUUGAAAAAUGUAUUUUUUAUUAUUUGAAAUAUUUAUAAAAUUUGUCCACUAUUUAAUACACGAAACAAUAAUAUUCUAGCUUUAUUUCUACGAAAAAUAAAUAUUAAAGUAUGCAAUCAAUCACUACCACCUUGAUUAAAAGUCGACUCAAUUUAUCAAAUAUCAUUAUUUACACUUUUAUUUCUCUCUCUAACAUUCUUUUGUUUUUAUUUCUUUAUCUAGCACCCUUUUAUUUUUAUUUUCCUACCUAUCACUAUUUCAAAAGUAAAAAAAUAAUAAUAAUUUUUUUUUUAAUUUUGAAUGGAUUAAAAAAAUAAAUAUUUUUAAUGUUUAAAAUAGUUAUUAAUGAAUAAAGAAAUGAGUUUCUAAAAAAUAAAAAUAAUAAAUAAUAAAUUAAAAAUGUUUAGUUUAAUUUUUUUUAAAUGAAGAAAAUGAAAAUUUAAGCCUACAACAACAUAAAAGUUGAAUAUAUAAACAUAAAUUAGUAUUUAUUUUUAUUAUUAUUUAUGAUGUAAUCAUGUUAAUUUCAAGUAAAAAAUAUAGGAUAUAAUUAUAAAAAAAAUCAAAAUCAAAAUCAAUUAAUAUUAAUUUGUAGUGGACACAUAGAUAAUAUUAUAGUGUCUACUCAUUUUUAAGCAUUAAGUAUAACAUUUGCAUUAAUUUUUUUUUUAGGAUUUUGCAUUUAGGGUAGACACUUCAAUAUUAUAUGGGUGUCAACUACUAAUUAAUACUAAUUUACUUUGUUUUUUUUUAUAAUUAUGUCCUGUAUUUUUUACUUGAAAUUAACAUGAUUACAUCAUCAAUAAUAAUAAAUAAAUACAAAUAUUCAUUUGUGUUUAUAGAUUCAACUUGUAUGUUGGUGUAGGGUUUAAUUUUUUAUUUUCUUCAUUCUUAAAAAAUAUUUAAACUAAACGUUUUUAAUUUAUUAUUAUUUUUUUGUAAAAAAUAUUUCUUUAUUCAUUAAUUAUAUUUCUAACUAUUUUAAACAUUAAAAAUAUUUAUUUUUUUAAUUUAUUCAAAAUUAAAAUUAUCAAUUUUUUUAAUUUUUUAAUUUAUUUUUUUACUUUUGAAAUAGUGUUAGAUAGGGAAAUAAAAACAAAAGGGUGCUAGAUAAGGAAAUAAAAACAAAAGGGUGUUAGAUGGGAAAAUAAAAAUGUAAAUAGUGUUAUAUGAGGAAUUGAGUCUCAAAAGUCUUCUCAUAAUUUAAAUUUAAAUUUGAUUUCUUUAAGCUAACUCCUUUAUGAAAUUUGUAUUAUUUUAAUAAUAUACACUACAAGAAAAUCAUCAAAUAGAAAUCAAUUUUAGAGUAAAAAAUAAUUAGUUGCUAUAGUGACUAAAUUAAAUAUCACUUUAGAGACUAAAAUAUUUUUUAGUUUCUAAAUUGGUAUCUAAUUAAUAUCAAGGUUUUAAUGACCGAACUGUUUUGUUCAGGUUCGUUAUUAUACUGAGUUAAAAACUUUGGUUAGGUGCCGACCAAACUGCUCAGGAGAUAAGGGAAUAUUUCAAUCACAAAUCCUACAAUAUUUGUUAAAGAAGUAGUAGAACACCAUUUAUCAUUUCAAAAAUUAAUAAAAGUACAUGUACCAAUAGUCUAAGAAAUAUAAUCAAGUAUAUGAGAAUAAAAUUGUAUAAUUCCAGGCCAAAGAUAUGAGGAUCUAUAAACCAUUCUAAACUCAUAUUUUGAUUUAAGAACCCUGACUUUCAGGAGAAAAGACAAAGGUCUGUUACUAUAAACAAAGUUCCAAGCAAGCUUAAGAAGAUAUAUAUUAUUUUCACGAUGAAGGUUAAUAAUCUUCAAACCUCAUUCUAAAAAGGAAAACAAAUCGUAACCCAAUUAGUGGUAGAUAUGCAUUUUUUCAAAAUAUCACCAAUCGAAAUAAAAUUUCGACACCCUUCUCAACUUGCUUAAAAAGUGAAACAUAUAUACCAUUUGUACACAUUAAAUAUAUAAACUAGAAAUUCAAUAAUCACCAUAUUAACCAACUAAAUCAACCCAUCAUGCUAAGAAAUAAGUUGUUCAAUUCCUUAUUCAGAAGGUAUUUGAACUUAUAUUAUUAGCUUCAUCAUUUAAAAAAAAAGUUCAUCUCAAAUAGUUUAACUCUAGAUUAAUUUUUUUAUAUUAUUUGAUUUUAUUAUUCCAUACGUAUAGAUUUGAAGAAUCUUUAACUUUUUGUAACUGUUAUUUGGAUAUUUAGUAACUUUCACAUAAAAACUUUUCAAAAUUGAAAUUGAUUUCUAAACUGUAUGAGUCUUAUUGUUUUAAAUUGGUGGCUUGAGUAUUGAAAUUAAAGAAAUAGACAUUGAGGUUUAGGGUUUUUUUGAAAUUGAUAAGAGUAUGUGAAGGUCAACUUGAGUAAUAUUAGUUAUUUUGAGCUUUAUGUUUUUUUUAUCAGCAAAUAGUAAUGAAAUUAAAUGAGACAAAUUCAGGGGUGGUCCAACCCUUAUACAGCAAAAUGAUGCUCACAAAGUACCUUUCCAUCUACAUAUCAACCAAAAAAAUAACAAAGAUCAACCAAUAUAAAAAACUAAAUUGAAUGCAUACAUACCAAGGGUUCUAGACACCAAUCAGAGAAUGAAAAAUUAGCUGACGGUAUUUUUGAAGAGAUCUAGGACCAAACCUUAAUCUGUGUCAGAGAGAACACUUCAGUAUGAUCAACCACUCCACCUUUAAAUAAACAGUUAUUCUUGUGCCUCCAUAUCUCGCUAACCAACGCAAUCCACAAGUUGCCCAUAAUAAGAUUAACUGAAGUGGGUGCAUCCAGAAUCUUGAAAUGUUCAAAAUGAGACCCAAGAUCCAUAAAAUCGACUGAUCUUAGUCCUAACCAGUCAUAACAAAGAUUCCAAAUUAGCCAAGCAACUCUACAUUCGCCGAACAAAUGAUUUGUUGACUCCUCUGACCUCCUACACAAGCAACACAAAUUACUCUCGACCUCGAUUCCUCUUCUCUUCAGAUUAACCCUACAAGCAACCUUGUUUUCAAUCACUCUCCAAGAUGUGACUUGAGCUGAGGGAAGCGCCCUAAUUUUCCAGAAAAAAUUAUAACUUCUUGAGUCUUCCUCACUUCCUUCUCCCCUUUAAAAACCAUAAGCGAACUUAACUGAAAGCUCUAUUGAAUCACUAUCCUUCCAAACACAUCUAUCCAUUGUUUCCAUCUCGAGCAUCUUAGUAGAGAUCAUCUCUAAGAAUUGACUUUCUUGCUCCUCUUCCCAAGCGAACAUACCCCUUCUCCACCUUAAGUUCCACUCCCAAGUCCUGUUCCCCCAUAUACCACAAUCACAUAAAUUUGCCUCCUUAUUAACAAACAAAGAAAAUAAUCUUGGAAAUCCAAUCUUCAAGGCUUCUGAGUCUAUCCAAUUGUCUGACCAAAACAUAACCUCUCUCCCGUUUCCGACCUCCAAAUUCAAACGAUCUUCAAACUUCCUUCCCCAUUCCUCAAACCUUCCUUAAAUCUCUCCACCACAUAAAGACCUUACUAUUAUUACCUCGCUGCUCCUUCAAACCUCUCUAUCCUCCAUACUUAGAUUCCAAUACCUCCCUCCACAACCCCUGUUUCCGUUUUCAAACGCCAAAUCCAUUUUUCCAUUAGAGCCAAAUUAAACUGCCUGACAUUCAUAAUACCAAGCCCUCCUUCUUCCUUGGAUUUACAAACCUUAUCCCAUGCCACCCAGACAAUCUUCCUUCCAUCUAACCCCCAUCCCCACAAAACAUUCAUCUGCAGGCUCACAAUCUUCUUUAAAACAAUAGGCAAAAUCUUGAAUAGAGAAAGAUAAAACAAAGGUAUUGACGACAAGACCGACUUAAUUAAGCAUAUCCUCCCCGCCAUCGAGAUAAAUCUUUCUUUACCCUGUUAACCACUUCAUCCCAUAACUCACCCCUCUUAUGACACCCCCCUACAGGCAUCCCCAAAUACUUAAAAGGAAUUCUCAUCAUCUCACAAUUUAGAAUUGUCGCAAAGUGGAGAAUCUCCGACUGCUCCAUCCCAAUCCCACCAAGUUUACUCUUAGAAAAAUUCACCUUAAGACCAUAUACCAAUUCAAAAUAGUUCAACGUUACCUUUAUAUUAAAAACACUUUUGCUAUUUGCCUUACAAUACAACAAUGUAUAUAUUGUUAUUGUUCUAUAAUUAAAUUUUAGCGUAAAGAUUGUUAGAGUGAUGCUUAAGCAAACUUUAACCUUAAGUGAAAAGUAUUAUUAUUUAAGUAAGAGAGACAAUAAUAAUAAUCUCUUCUCUUGAAAUUCAUUACUCAAAUAAUGAUUAAUUACUCAGUUUGAAUGUAAAAAUUAAGUGAAAAAUAUUAUUGUUUAAGAAAAAGAGACAAGAGAAAAAUCUUCAUAACAAACUUUAUUUUAAUCUUAAGCCACAUCACACAACUUUAUCACAGGCUUAAUAUUGACUUAUUUUUCAUGAAAAGUGUAUAUAACAUAAUAUAUUAGAAUGCAUAAAAGCAAACAUGAAACACAUAAACAAGCAAUUAGAAAUAACGUAUGAUGUGGUCUACUUGAAGAACUCCAUAACCCAGAAAAUGUUGACACGACAUUCAUAUCUGAUGCCACUAAAUCCAGCUGCUCUUGCCAGUUUCAUGAACUCUUCUUCAGAUCGUUCUUUACCUCCCGGGUUCUGAGUCAUCAUCGCAACAUCCAUUUGUGCAACCGUCUUAUAAACAUCAUUAUUCUCUGGUAUCUGUGGAAGAAUUGCCUCCACAACUAUCACCUUUCCAUCAUCAGGAAUUGCAUCAUAGCAAUUCUUCAACAGCUUCACACAAUGUUCAUCACUCCAAUCAUGAAGUAUCCACUGUACAAUUACUUAAUGUCAAACCGCAUUGAAUGAAGUUGGUAUAAGUCAUGCAUCAGUUUGAAUUAAACUCUUUUUUCAACCAACUAUUAUUCAUAUUCAAGACAAGAAACAUGUUCAUACUUUGUAUUAAAUACAUAAAAAAAAACCAAAUAAUGUUUGAAUAUUAAUGUUUAGAAAUUUAAACUAAUAAAGUCAAACAAAGGGGUUAGAGUUAUGAUAUUUUGACAUGGUCAAAACAAUAUUAAAUGCACAUGCUUAUUAAUUUAAUAAAUUAAUAUUUUAAUUAUAUUGAUUUUAUAUUUUAAUUUAAAAUAUUAUCAUAUUAUUAUAAGGUGUUAUGAAGUGAAUCUGUUUAGAGUUUCAAACCAUAUUUUUCCAAUUAAAUAGUAGUAUAUUUCCCAGACCGAGACUUACCUUCAUAAAUAUGGCGUCUCCUUUAGGCACAUUUUCAAACAUGUCUCCCUCAACGUGUUCCACUCCUGCAAUAUUAGAAAGUAAAUAGUACACACUAUUUAUGUUAUUGUCUUGUAAAAACUCAAAGUUGACCUUCAAAAGACGAAAAAACAACAUUUUUUUUUUAAAUUUUGCAGAACCACAGGAUUGGAAUGUGUAAGGAUGAUACCAGGAUAGGAAGGAGCAUCUCGAAUGACAUGAGGCAAGUCGAAAUUGAUGCCAUGGAUAUUAGGGUAUUUGGAAGUGAUCAAGUUAAUGUUUAUUCCAAGACCACCACCAACAUCCACCACUCUUUUUAUGCCCUCAAAACCUUCGUAGGACUCCAGAACCUUCUUCAUCACCAAAGGGGUGUUGAUCAUUGCUGUGUUGAAAACUUUAUUGAACCUUGAAUCCAAACGUGCAUACUCAAAAGCAUGAGUGCCAUGAACCCUGUUGAAUGGAACACCCCCCUCCCUAAUUGCAUCUUUCAGCUCACUCCUAUAAUAAUAUAUAAACAAAUUACUAGUACCAUACAGAAAUACAUGAAAUCUUUAAAAAUAUAAGAUACGGAAACAUAAAUCUAUAUCUAUAACUAUAUAUAAAGAUGAUUUUUCAUUAUAACCAUUUUUUGGUAUACACAAUUUUUUUAUGAUUCUAUCCUUAUUCAAUAUAUCUCAUCUUAUUAGUAUUUUAUCAUUUCAUAUAAAUUAUUAAAAAAAUAAAAUUAUUUAUUAAUUUGUUAAAUUAAUGUUAUGUGACAGUCUUUAUAUGUAAACUAACUUCUCACUCUUCCUUUACUUUCCUAUUAGGCAACAACAAAAAUAAAGGUGCUCUCACCCUCACUCCUCUAUUAAUUCCCACACCAAAUCUAGCAACAACAGAAAUAAAGAGAUCAUACUCUCACCCUCACUCUUCCAUUCUCACACCAAAUCUAACGUAUACAACAAAAUAACAUACAUUUAUUUUCAAUCACUCUCUCGAGUUCAUUUCAAACAACUCUAUUCUUUGGUAAAACCAUCAUUCUUUUUUAUCUACCAUCAAGUGAAUCUUAACAUUAACAUGAACAUCAUCACACUCUCCGAUUCCAAAACCACCCAUGGAAGAAAAUAAAAAACUUGAAGGAGAGAACUCAAACCAUAGGAGAAACAAAAUGUUGAUUAAUCAAUUUAUCAUUUAUUUUUUACAUAUUAUUUUUUGUUUUUCAAUUUUGACUCAUCCAAAAUUAUUGUUGUAUGUAUGUUAAAUUUUUAUCAUCAUAUAAGUUAAACAGAAGAAGGAAUGCGGAUACACAUACACUACAAUGCCUCUGAUUUCGCUAGUAUUAUAUAAUUUGACAAUAAAUACUUAUGUGCACAAGUAUCACUUAUUUUUAGUAAAAAUAUGUUUCUCAUUACUAGUUAAAAAGGAUUUGUUCCUUAUUUUUAUAACUAUAAUAAAAAUUUAUAUAAUAAAUUUGAGUUUUUAAAAAUUUAAUGUAUUUUUUUUUUUUAAGAUUGUAUUAGAACCAUACUAGAAUUGUCAGAAAUCCAACAAAUAUUUUUUGAAUUGAACACUUCACAUAUACAUAUUCUACAAACAUAUUCUACAAGUGUCAUAUACAUAUUCUACAAGUGUCGAUAUGUAAUACAUGUAUCGAUAUGCAUACCAUUUAAGAUACUUGUCCUAAACUCUUAGCACGUUAGAUAUACGAAUAUGUUUGUGAUGGAAAAGAACAUAAAAUGAUAAUAAUAGUUGAGAGAGAGAGAGUUUAACCAGCUGUGUAGAGAGAUUUUGUCUUGGAUCAAGGCCAUCACGGGCCCCAACGAAACUCCAUCAGAAUUGGGAACAAAGAAUGCGGCGACGGGAGUCAUGGUGUAGAGCCUGUGAAAGGUGGGAGGGACACGGUGGUCGGAAACGAGGGAAGAGUGAAGAAUGGAGUGAGAAGAAAGAAGUGCGAGGAGACGAUCUAGCAUUGAGGCUGCUUGUGGGUUACUGCAACUAAUCUUUGAUGCUAUUUCCUUAGCAGACAGCUUAGCACCUUCUCCCGCUUCUUUCAGCACCUCAAACACUCCCAGCUCCGUCGCUGAUUGCACUGCCAUCGAAAGAACCACUGAACUUGUAAGCUGUAUGGCACGCAAGAAGCUUUCUUCAUCUUCUGUUUCUUCUUCUUCCUUCCUCUUCUCUUCACCAUUGAGCCUUGAAUUUGGAAGGCUUGCCAUCUGCACUUCAACACCUGCAAUCACUCACCACUUUCUACGCUUGAAACUAUACUCUUCUUCCCUAUUUUUCCACAAUAUAUUGAACAAUCCAAUGAUCUUUUGAAUGCUUCUUUUGUAAGGUGCUACUCUUUGACCCGUGCAACACACGUCUUUUUCAUUUUUUACUUAACAUUAGUUAACAAAAAAUAAAUUUAUAUUAUAAGAAUAUUAUAAAGUAGUGUAUAAAAAUAACAUACAAUUAAAUGUAUAUUUUUAUGGGUAAAAUAAACUUGUAAAUAUAAUAAUAAGUAUACAGUUGUGGUAUGGUAGAUGGAAUGUAGGUAUUAGACGGUAUGAAACAUUAGACCUUAUAUUUCAUAAUUUGAAUUGUUUGAUUUGUUUUUUUUUCUAUAUUGUUUAUAUUUAAGGAUUAGGAUUAGGAUUUAGGAUUUAUAUUUAGCUAUGUGGAUGUAUAUUUUGAUAUUUGAAUAUGUUAAUUUUGGAUUUUGUAGUAUUUUCAUAUUGGUAGUAGACGAUGAAGAGAGAAUGCUAGUUUUCAUCUUUACAAAAUAGUUGUUGCUUAUACUCAAUCCAUUUUGUAUUAAGUGAUUCAAAGAUAUAUCUUAUAUGAACAUCAAAAUAGCGGAUAGGAAAUACUGACAUUUCUUGCAACCAUUACACUAAACAAGUUCUUUUAUCACAUUAUGAUUUUUAUUAUACUUACUAUCAUUAUUCUUAAUAUUAAUAUUAAUAAUAAUAUAAAUAUUAUUAAUAUUUAUAAUAUCAUUAUUUAUUAUUGAUUAUUUUUUAAUUAAAUUUUAAAUAAGUUACAUGUGGAUUGUAUUAUCGUAUGUAACUGUUAUUUUUAAUUAAAUUUUAAUAAAUUACAUACAAAUAAAGUCUGUACGUAACAUUUUUAAUUAUUUUAUAAUUAAAUUUGAAAUAUGUUACAUACGAAAUUUAUCCAACAAUUUUUUUUUAAUUUUCAUUACAUACAAAUUAUUUUUUAAUUAAAUUUAAAAUAAAUUACAUAUGAAUUUAAACUGUAUGUAACUGUUUUUUUUUAAUUAAAUUUUUAAUAACUGUUUUUUUUUAAUUAAAUUUUUAAUACAUUAUAUAUAGAUAUAAUUCGUAUGUAACACUUUUUUUUAUUUUUUAAUUAAAUUUGAAAUAAGUUACAUAAGGAUUUAAACUGUAUGUAACAGUUUUUUUAAUUAAAUUUUUAAUACAUUAUAUAUGGGUAUAAUUAGUAUGUAACACUUUUUAUUAUUUUUUAAUUAAAUUUAAAAUAAAUUACAUACAAAUUAUAUCCGUAUAUAACAGUUUCUUAUAAUUAAAUUUUCCAUUUUUUUUAAAAUUAAAAUUAAUGUUCCAUGGCUAUAUUAUUUUAGAUAUUCUAUAUCAUUAUAACUAGAAUAAGUAUUAUUUAUAUAGAAAGUGUGAGCCACAUUAAUUAUAGGUCAAUAUUUAUUUUAUUUUAAGGCAUUAUUUCCAGAUACGAUAUCCGAAGCUUGCGAUAGCACUAAUAUUUUAAGGUAACAAAUAACAUUUUUUUAAUUAGCAUAUGCGUAUAUGAUCUUGUGCAAGCUAGCUAAGAACUUCACUUUUUCCCUUACACUUAUCUUCAUGUUGUAUCAAGCAAAUUGGACCUAUAAUUUAUUUUCACAAAGUAAAAUGGUGCUUUGUUGCUACAUAGACCUAAUAAACAAUGGUAUUUGAUAAUAGUAGCCAAAGAUGCUUUACAGAAAAUGUUAAAAGAUGUGACCGGAAUGUUUAGAGUUAAGUGAUGUUACAUUGGUUUAGAUAAUUAUUGAAAUUGUUAUUAAUAAUUUUUUUUUACAUAAUGAUAAUUACCUAUAGAUUUAGAUUUAUAGAUAAAUUUAGACAUACCUACAAAUGAUUACUGUAGGUAAAAUGGAGUUACCUUGUUAAUGAAAAUGUCAUUGUAAGUUUUAUAGUUCAACGCCGACUUAAAACAUCAUUAUUAGUGUUUUAAUGACAAUUUAUCACAAAAUCAUCAUUUUAAAUGGAUUCAAUAAUGAUGAAUAAUAGAGACAAACCUGUUAUGAAAAUGAAAAAAAUAAAAUUUUGAUGGAAUAAGUAUGUUGACUACCAUAAGGUUAUGCAUAAACAAAUUGUAGGAAGACUUAAAACUUUGGGAUUGAGUGUGAAUAGAUUAUUUCAAAUCACCUAUAAUACCAUACUAAAAAAAUGGAAUAUGUCUGAACUGCACAAACAUGUUAGGUUUAGCAAAGAACAAGGUUUAAGUAUGUUAAAGGUUAAUUAAACAUCUAAAAAUCUAAAAGAAAUAGUGAAAAGGCAAUACCGGUCAUUUAUGUGAAAAACUUGUACAUUUUGACAAGGAUUACUCAAAAUGUAAAGUUUUAGUUCAAAAAAAAGUUAAAGUUAAUGUUUACAUACUAAUAAAAUUUAAUGAAAAGAGGGAUUACUUAGUGUUUAAAUCAUAAUAUUAAAUAAUUUAUUUUUUUAUAAAAAAUAAAGUGAUCAAAUUCUAGUGGAAGCGGCGUGAUUUAUCUUUCACAUCUUUAAAUUUUUUUUAAUUUUAUUCUUUAUUAAUAUGAAAAGUGAACAUAACAUAAUAUAAUACACACCAUGAGCUUAUUCUGUUACUUUAAAAUGCAUACAAGCAAACAUGAAACACAUAAACAAGAAAUUAGAAAUAACACAGAGGAAACAUGUGGUGUAGUCUACUUGAAGAACUCCAUAACCCAUAAACUGUUGACAUGACAUUCAUAUCUGAUGCCACUAAAUCCAGCUGCUCUUGCCAAUUCCAUGAACUCUUCUUCACACCGUUCUUUACCUCCCUCGUGCUGAGUCAUCAUCCCAACAUCCAAUUGUGCAACUGCCUUAUAAGCAUUAUUAGUCUCUGGUAUUUUUGGAAGAACUGCCUCCACAACUAUCACCUUUCCAUCAUCAGGAAUUGCAUCAUAACAAUUCUUCAACAGUUUCACACAAUCUUCAUCACUCCAAUCAUGAAGUAUCCACUGUACAAUCAUUGAAUGAGGUUGGUAUAAUGCAUCACUUUGAAUUAAACUUUCAACCAACUAUUAUUCAUAUAUUUCCCUCCUCACUCACACUUUACCUUCAUAAAUAUGGCGUCUCCUUUAGGAACAUUUUCAAACAUGUCUCCCUCAACGUGUUCCACUCCUGUAAUAUUAGAAAGUAAAUACUACACACUCUUAAUAUUAUUGUCUUGUAAAACUCAAAGUUAACCAAAUAACAUUUUUUUUUUUAAUUUUGCAGAAGCACAGGAUUGGAAUGUGUAAGGAUGAUACCAGGAUAGGAAGGAGCCUCUCGAAUGACAUGAGGCAAAUCGAAAUUGAUGCCAUGGAUAUCAGGGUAUUUGGAAGUGACCAAGUUAAUGUUGAUUCCAAGACCACCACCAACAUCCACCAAUCUUUUUAUGCCCUCAAAACCUUUGUAGGAUUCCAGAACUUUCUUCAUCAUGAAAGUGGUGUGAUUGAUCAUUGCUGUGUUGAAAACCUUAUUGAAUCUUGAGUCCGAACGUGAAUAGUCAAAAGCAUGAGUGCCAUAAACCCUGUUGAAUGGAACACCCCCCUCCCUAAUUGCAUCUUUCAGCUCCGUCCUAAUAAUGUAAAAACAAAGUUAUUGCCCGAAAGUGCCUCUCAAUUCAUAAAUCCUCUUGGAAACAUUUACUUCCAAUGACAUAAUUUAGGAGAUCGCAUAAAAUCAUAAUACUGAAUGAUGUGACUUUAUUCUUUUAUUAUCACAACAACCCGCAUUAAAUUUGAACUAUUAUCUCCCAAUGAUUAGCAAGAGAGAGAAUGAAAGAUUGCAACAAGGAGUCAAAAGUGUAAACAAUGUAAUUUUGUCCAAUAGUUGGUGAGUGGACCAACGACAAACAAACUGCACACGGACCAUGAAAAAGUUUGUAAGGAAUCAUCACUAGUUUUUUGUUGGUAUAAUUUAAAUUAUAUAAAUAUUAAUAUUUUGUUACAGUGUAAAGUAAGAAGUGAAAAUAUCAUGAGCAUAAUAAUUGAGAUACCAGCUUUGUAGGAAGAUUUUGUCUUGGCCCAAGGCCAUCAUGGGCCCCAACGAAACUCCAUCAGAAUUGGGAGCAAAGAAUGCGGCGACGGGAGUGAUGGUGUAGAGCCGGUGAAAGGUGGGAGGAACACGGUGGUCGGAAGCGAGGGAAGAGUUAAGAAUGGAGUGAGAAGAAAGAAGUGCGAGGAGACGAUCUAGCAUUGAGGCUGCUUCUGGGUUACUGCAACUAAUCUUUGAUGCUAUUUCCUUAGCAGAAAGCUUAGCACCUUCACCCGCUUCUUUCAGCACCUCAAACACACCCAGCUCCGUUGCCGUUUGCAGCGCCAUCGAAAGGACAAUCGAACUCAUAAGCUGAAAGGCACGCGAGAAGCUUUCUGCAUCUUCUAUCUCUUCUUCCAUCCUCUUUUCUUCACCAUUCAGAGUUGAAUCCGGAAGGCUUGCCAUCUCCACUUCAACUCCUGCAAUCACUCACCACUUCUACACUUUAAACUAGUCUAUAUUCACACACUAUUCUUCUUCUUCUUCCGUUGAGAAAGCAAGAGAGAGAAGAAGAGAAGGGAACACACUACGUACGUGCAACAUGAUCAAUAAAGAAGAGGUCUAAAAUAUCUUAUUCGUACUCUAUGCAGAUAACACGCUCAGUAACACCGUAGUUUUUCACUAUUAUACCAUCCAAUGAAAAUGCUUUAUCGUACAGACGUCUCAACCCAUAUAGAGUUUUAAAGAUCUUUUAAAAUUAAUUAUAAUUUUAUUUUUCAUAGUCUUUAAUGAUUUGUGUUCUCUCCGGUUGACUUCGGUUAGACGUCUUCUUUCGGAUCUGCUUCUUUUUGACUUUGAUUCACGUCUCCUUGGUGCACUAGAAUGUAGAGAGAGAGAAAAUGUAAGUUCAUCAACCAUGACAGAUACUUCGUUUUUCUUUACUAAUUUUUCUCAUGAGUAUGAAGAAAAGGAUUUUUGAAAAUUUUUUUAAAGAUGGGAUAGAGUUUUGGAUGUGUUUAUAUCUAGGAAGUUUAACGUUAGGAACCAACAUUUUGGGUUUGUUAGGUUUCAAGGGGCGAGGGACGUUUUGAGAUGGAAAGAAAGCUAGACACUAUUUGGAUUGUGUAUAGGAAAUUACGGGUGAAUAUAUCUAAAUAUAGUAGGUGAGAGUAGUCAAGAGAAGUCCGUAACUUCAAAAAGCAAUCGUAGGGGCCUCAAAAAGUUUGGAGCCAAAAGGCGGACCAACGGACUUUCGCACAAGAGGUAAAGAAUGGGAGUGGUGAUUCUUCUCAGAAGGAGGUUGUUGCUACUGUCCAGAAGCAUUUAGAUGAAUCCCCGCCUAUCUUUAGGGUCAUGAUGGAGGAUUCUGAGUGGUUGGAGAGUAGUUACAUUGGAAGAUUUUCUAAGAAAUCAAUUUUUUCAAGCGAUUAAGGAGAGUCUCUUUUUGGGCGGAUGUGGUUUUGUGAAUUUAGUGUUUCUUGGUGAAGAUUUCGUACUGUUGUCUUGUGAAGAUGCAGAUAAUCUGGCGAAAGUCAUUGAAGGGAAUAAAGAUUGGCUAGACAAUACUUUUGUUUCUCUAGUUCCUUGGGAGAAUUCGUUUUCAGUGUCUGAAAAUUUUAUACUAGUUCACUCAAUUCCUAAGCUACAUUCAGUUCUCAGACAAACCUUUGAGUUUCCACUAGUAAUCAACACAGAUUACAACCACACAUCACAAAGAGGUGACUUUGAAUCCCACAAAGUCUACCCACCCCCUUUGCAAAACUUCACACCUCAAGACAAAACAACCUCUGUCUUUACAGGAUUUCAAACACAAACAGUAUGUAAAAGAAGUACAAUUACAAGACACUAAUCAAUGAUAGAAAACACGUGGAAUUAUAGAACCAGAACCAGAGAUCCUAUGAUCAGCACUUGUCACCACUAUAAAGCUUGAAAGCACUCUUGCUCUUUUUUAAAACACUUUCAAAAAAACCAAAUCUCUUUCUCAAAUCUGAAUCAAUACUUGCUGUAUUUGUUAUGUAUUUUGAUUUGAACAAAAGCCUUAUUUAUAGCCUUUGAAAAACAGUCGUUUAAGGCAGAUUUGAACAACUGAAUCAGUUAAAAUAGGUUUUCAAAAAACUGUUAUGAAAACACACAUUUAACCGGUUGAAACCACGAUUUAACCGGUUGAACGAGUCAAAGCAGUUACAUAACUGAUUCAAAAAGCAGUUUCAAAACAUCCAGCCAGCUAAGUGACAAACAACCGAUUAUUUCGACAAAUCAACUAGUUUUUUCUCUUUGCUUGAAAAAACACUUAGUUUCUUAAAAUAGAUUUAAUCAAGCUUUGUGUAGGCUUCAAUUUCAAGGAGUGAUCUUAACAAAGAUUCUAAACAACCUAAUCUAAACCCAAACCCAGAAAGCAGCACAGUUUUAGGCUUCAUGUGGAUUUGAUACAUCAAAGCUUCCAUCUUCAACAGGCUUCUCUGCAGGUAGGGUUUGCUCUCUGGUCAGUUCUAGCGGAGCUCAAGAUGGCGUUCUCGGUGGGCGGUAACGUCACUCCCGUUUCCUCUUCUCCGACUGCGCCUCGCGGUACAGUUACAACUGGGCUUUGUGUGCUGGACCCACGUUGUGCAGCUACAUCGUCAAGCAGAUAGGGGAUGAUGUCGUGCGAGUUUGAUGGCGACACGAUUGACUUAAGAAGAAAAAUCAAUUGUUCAACCGAUUAAUACUACUAUUUCAGCCCCUCACACAAGAAGAAUUUUAUUAAUUAUCAUUAAAGUAAUUAAUUAUCCACAACUACCAAAAUGUUUUUUUAUAACCAACAAGAAAAACUUGAAAUUUGAUUUAAAAAUCUCAAUAAAAAUAUUAGGUCCACCUAAAUUGCAAAUAUUGGAGAAAUAUGUUCUUUUUAAAUCGAUUUUUUUAAAAAAAUACUUAAUUUCAUUUUACUGCACACAUAAUCUGAAAAUGCCAAUAUAAAUAUAAAUAAAUAACUAAAAUAUUACACCAUUAAAAAUAAAUAAGGAUAUUAAAUUUAAACCAACAAAUUGAAAGAUGAAAAGUUAUGCAAUUAAAUAAAAAUAAUUUAUUAAUCACCUCAUUCUUAACUUGAGUUUUAUUAUUUAAUAACAAUAGAAAUAAUCAUAUAUUUAAUAAUAAGUUUAUGUUAUGUUAUACCCUUGAAAGAAAUAUUGAAGGAUGCAUAUAAGCUUAUGUUUAUGUUCUGUUUUACUUUGUACUCUGCUGAGGUGGAUUCCUGCAAAAAGCUUCAAUUUGUAGAGUAAGCAUCGUUCUUGUUUUCGUGCAACAUAGAAACUCCGAUAAAUACCCUGUAAUAAUUAACAGUUACCCAAUAACUGUUAUUACUUUCCUAUUUCCCUGAUUCUUCAAUCUCAUGCUUGCAUAAAUUUAGAAUGCUUUUAUGUUCAUCCUACGAGAGGUAAAGUAACUAUCUCAAAGUGAACUUUAACCCUAACUCAACCCCAUAAAUCGGUUGAGAGGGUUGAGGUUUGUACCCACGAUCUCCAACAUACUCCUCAUGCCGAGACUGCCAACUCGUGUGUGGGACUAUGUAUAUUUUGGGUGGUCCGAUAGCGGGUGACACGAUAGGCCCAACACAAACACUCGUUAGGAUAGGCUCGAAAUGACUCUGAUACAAUAUUACAAAGUAGACUUUAAGCCUAACUCAACCCCAUAAAACCGGCUCAUAGGAUUGAGGUUUCCACCCACUUAUAUACAACGAAAAGCUCUAAUCUCUAGUCGAUGUGGGAUCUCCAACAAUAAAAUUCAAUUCAUUUUCAGAUAAUAUUAUAUAUAACAUUAAGAAAAAUAAAUCUAAAUUUUGCAAUCUUGGUGAACCAAAUAUGCAGCAAGGUCAUGAAUUGAAAAGAAUUGAAAAGAAGUUCAAAGAUAUUGGCAUGAAUAGAAGCAUUAAGGAUACAAAUUGGAGUCAAUGGGAUUAUUUCCUUUAACAUGAUGUUACUCUUGAAAUGUGCAUUGUGCUAAUUCUUAGACUUUCUCUUCCACCAUCAUCAUUCAAAACUGUUUCUCCUUGUGCUUGUCGCUCUUCUAGAGGACUAAUGCUUUUAAAUGCACUUGGUGUAAAAUGAAAAAGCUAAUGAGAAUUUUGAUCAACAUAGCUAUUUGUUGAAUUCAUAUAGCUUUUUGUAAUUUUAGUUUUUGUUUUUUUGUGCUGGAUGAAUGUAUUGUGUGGGUUAAAUAGAUGAAGAAAAUUGAAUGAAGAAUAUAAUUUGGUUGUCAAUGAGACCCACAAGAAGUGAGACCAUUAGUGCUAAUAAAUAGUGUGCUAAAGUGAGUAAAGAAGACAAAUUGUUUACAAUCCUGGGCAUCAUUUUUCUAGUUAAUCUAAGCUCCUUUAGAAGAGGACAUUUAUAGUACUAAAAGAUGCCAAAAUUCAGAAAAGUUUAACCUAAAAACUCCUCACUUGACAAGUGUUCUCCUCUAAUUAGAGAGAAUUCUCUCCAUGAUAACAAUAAAUUUUCUCUCAUUGGAGUAAAUCCUCUUAAAUUAGAGAUUGACAAGUAACCUUUCUUAGUUGGUGGAGAUCAUCUUCAUUAAAGGUAAUUGGUGGAGAUCAUCUUCAUUAAAGAGAUACCAUGUGGACCUUCAUGUCCUCAUCGAGGAUUGCAUUGAAUCCAAUGAAGUCAAAUUGUCACUUUAGCUAGACAUUCUUUUUCUAUUUACACCUUAUUCUAAUUGACCUAAGUCGAAUAUUUACACCUUAUUCUAAUUGAUCUAAUACAUGGUUCAUGAAAAUAAGUCUAAUACAUUAUUCGAGUACAAGUCCAAAUACAAGCCCAAUUAAAUCCUACACAAAAAUUACUAAUUUACACUACUCUACAAAUUUACAUAAGAAAAUAAGAAAAACACAAAAAUUACUAAUUUACACUACUCUACAAAUUUACAUAAGAAAAUAAGAAAAACUAGAAAUGAAUGUUCUGAUCAAAAUUCCAUAUCCUUCAAUCUCCUUAGCCCAAAAUUGUGGUGGUGACUUAAUGGUCUCCACACGUCUCUUUGUUAAAUAUCCAACACCUAUUCUAUUUUCCACUUGUGGUAAAUUUAUAUUUUGUAUUAUUUUUUCUAAAAAUUUAUGGUUGAAACACAUGUCAAAAAUAUUAUAAAUUUUCUACAAAUUAAACAAUUUUCUUUUAAUUUUAUAGUUUUGAAUAAACAUAUUUCAACGAUAAUAAAUAAUUUAAAAUCAAUUUCUCUGAAUCUACAAUAAUGUAUCUGGAUCUACUAGGGAUUACUUAGUGCAUAAAUCAUAAAUUCAAAUAAAAAAUUUAUCUUCAUGAAAGAGUGAAAACUCUAAUGGAAAAGUUCUAAUCUUAUCUUUUGCAUACUUCAAUUUAUUUUAUUAAUAUGAAAACACACCCCAUGAGAUUAUUCUGUUAUUUUAAAAUGCAUAAAGCAAACAUGAAACACAUAAACAAGCAAUUUGAAAUAAAGCAGAGGAAGUAGGGGCACAGAGCAUAACAGAGCAUAGCAUAUGUUGUGGUCUACUUGAAGAACUCCAUAACCCAUAAAUUAUUCACAUGACAUUCAUAUCUUAUGCCACUGAAUCCAGCUGCACUUGCUAAUAUCAUGAACUCUUCUUCACAACGCUCUUUACCUCCCUGGUGCUGAGUCAUCAUCAAAACAUCCAUUUGUGAAACCUCCUUAUAAGCAUUACUAGUCUCUGGUAUUUUUGGAAGUACUGCCUCCACAACUAUCACCUUUCCAUCAUCUGGAAUUGCAUCAUAGCAAUUCUUCAACAGCUUCACACAAUGUUCAUCACUCCAAUUAUGAACUAUCCACUGCUCAUUCAAUAAUGUUGGUAUAAGUUUCAUGCAUCAGUUUGAAUAAAUCAAAGUUUCAAUCAACUGUUAUUCAUAUUCAAGAUAAGAAACACGUUCGUUGUGUUUAGAAGUUUAUAAACCAAAUAAAAGGUGUUUGAUAAGAGAGAUUCAUCUCCCCUUUAAAAUUAAAUACUACUAUAUUUCCCUAGCACCCAUCAUUAUGAAUUGACCAAAAUCCCCAGUAACACAGCCACACUUACCUUCAAAAAUAUGGCGUCUCCUUUAGGCACAUUUUCAAACAUAUCUCCCCCAACGUGUUCCACUCCUGCAAUAUUAGGUACCUUUUGCUUUUAAAACUCAACCUCAUAUAUUAUUAACAAAGAAAGUAUUGGACUCUAAGCAAGUAAAUAGUUUUUAAUUUUGCAGAACCACAGGAUUGGAAUGUGUAAGGAUGAUACCAGGAUAAGAAGGAGCAUCUUGAAUGACACGAGGCAAGUCGAAAUUGAUGGCAUGGAUAUGAGGGUAUUUGGAAGUGAUCAAGUUAAUGUUGAUCCCAAGACCACCACCAACAUCCACCAGUGUUUUUAUGCCCUCAAAACCUUCGUAGGAUUCCAGAACCUUCUUCAUCACCAAAGUGGUGUGAUUGAUCAUUGCUGUGUUGAAAACCUUAUUGAAUCUUGAGUCCAAACGUGGAUACUCAAAAGCAGGAAUGCCAUAAACCCUGUUGAAUGGAACACCCCCCUCCCUAAUUGCAUCUUUCAGCUCACUCCUAACAAUGUAUAAACAAAGUUAUUUCACUUGAGCAAAUGAAGAAACGUGCCCAAAAGUGCCUCACAAUUCAUAAAUCCUCUUGUAAACAUUUACUUCCAAUCACAUAAUUUAUGAAUAUGGACAUUAUACGUGUAAUCUCUAAAAUAUAAAAUAUAAAACACAAAGUUGACACUUAAUCAUAUGUGUUUUACAGGGCUUAUCACCCGCAUUAAAUUUAAAAUAUACCAAUAUGUUUGUGAUGGAAAAGGAACAUAAAAUGAUAAUAAUAGUUGAGAGAGAGAGUUGAACCAGCUUUGUAGGAAGAUUUUGUCUUGGCAUAAGGCCAUCACGGGCCCCAACGAAACUCCGUCAGAAUUGGGAACAAAGAAUGCGGCGACGGGAGUGAUGGUGUAGAGGCGGUGAAAGGUGGGAGGAAGACGGUGGUCGGAAAUGAGAGAAGAGUGAAGAAUGGAGUGAGAAGAAAGAAGUGCGAGGAGACGAUCUAGCAUUGAGGCUGCUUUUGGGUUACUGCAACUAAUCUUUGAUGCUAUUUCCUUAGCAGAGAGCUUAGCACCUUCUCCCGCUUCUUUCAGCACCUCAAACACUCCCAGCUCCGUCGCCGAUUGCACUGCCAUCGGAAGGACCACCGAACUCACAAGCUGCAUGGCACGCAAGAAGCUUUCUUCAUCUUGUAUUUCUUCUUCUUCUUCCUUCCUCUUCUCUUCACUAUUCAGCCUUGAAUCUGGAAGACUUGCCAUCUCCACUUGAACACCUGCAAUCACUCACUCACCACCUUCUACACUCUAAACUAGUGUAUAUACACACUCCUCUUCUUCUGGGAUACUUUAUUAUUCACGUUUAAAUCAACUUUAGAUUUAACUCAAAUUCAUAAUAUUUCUGUUAUAAGUUUCUAACACUUUGCUUUUAAGUUGAGGUUAUACUUAUAUAAUUAAAAUGUAAGAUAAAUAUAGUUUUCAUUUACUUUCUAUUCAACAACAAACAGAUAGAUAUCAACAUUUUUGUUUAGAUUUUAGGGUGAAAAUAAACCAUUCUAGUUGACUCAACUUCUGUAAUUAUUUAUAAUAUACUUAUUCAUGUGUUUAAUUGACAUUUCUCCAAUAUUUAAAGUUGAAAUGCAUGUGUAUGUGCAUGUGCAUGGCUAUAUUAUUUUAGAUUUUUUAGGUUUUAAGGGAUUAUUUCCAGAUCCGAUCGGAAGCGUAUUUAAAUAAAGAGCUAGCAUUAAUAUUUGAAGGUAAUAAAUAACAUUUGUUGUUAAACAUUGUUUAUGGUGUGCUAGCUAGAUAAGAACUUUAUUAUCAUUUUAAAUAAUUGAUUAGAUGAUAUGAAUGGCAAAUACACUUGUAAAUUACGGUUUUCAUGGAAAACUCAAUUUCUUUAUAGCACUUAAGAAUAAUGAAGUUAAUAGGAGAAUGAAGUUAAUAAUAGAUGAGAGAUAAAAGAGAGGAUAAGUGAAUGAGAAAUAAAAGAGAAUCUAUAUGUAACAAUAAAUUAAUAGAUAAAGUUAAUUAAUAUUGAAAUUGGUGACUUAUUAUUUGUAGAGUGAUGGGUAUGGACCGACGCAUAUCGGGUGGUCGUUACUUGAACUGGUUCAACUUGAUAAUAAUAGUCUCAAUAGCUUACGUUAGAAACUAAGGGGCAGUAGAGUGAUGGGUUUGGGCUCGAUGCAUAAUAUGAGAAUCGAAAUCCUAUCAUUAACAUGAAACGUGCGUCAUCCGUUAUUCAUUACACUAAAUCACACAUAAUUAAUGGCUCAGUAAAGACAGAAUCGGGUUACGUUACACAGGAUGUAUCAAUAUAUGUAAGGAGCGUCAGUAGGAAGAUCUAUCUUUUACACACUUGUAAAUGGUACACUUACCCUAGCCUAUUGAUUGAUGUUCUACGGCUAGAUUAUUGCUACGUUUGUCUAAAACAUUUGGUGCCCACCGUGGGUGAUGGAGAUCAAGCUCAAGUGGACAUGGAGGCCAAUCAACAAGAUCAAGAAGAGGUAGAAGCACAAAUGGAGGACGCCCAUGGAGGUCAAAGCCCACCUCAAAGGCUUACAAGAAGCAUGUUCAAAGCUUUAGGAGCUAGGGGACAAUUAUUUUCUCUUUUUGUAAUUUCUUUGGUUGAAGGUGCUUAGAGGCAAACAUUAGAAACCUCUUUUGUUAUAGCAUCUUUAAGCCUUUAGUUAGGAGCUUUAGGAGGGGGGUGCGUUAGUAGAUAGGUGUAGGAGUAGAAUAGGAGGUGCCAAAGUGAAGGAAGAGGUCACACCUUCCUCAUGCUUUGUAAUUGGCGCUGGUUCUAGAAACUUUUUAGGAGGGAAUUUUGAAUUUGUGUAGCUUGCAUUUUCAGCACCUUAGGCUAUAAAUAGAGGUGCUCCCUUUGUAAAAUUCAGAUNNNNNNNNNNNNNNNNNNNNNNNNNNNNNNNNNNNNNNNNNNNNNNNNNNNNNNNNNNNNNNNNNNNNNNNNNNNNNNNNNNNNNNNNNNNNNNNNNNNNUGAGUGAGCAUUGGAGAGCUUUUGAGCCUUCUUCUCUAGUCUUAUCUUGAAGGAUCCAUGGUGUCCUCAAGUGGCGGCAGCACACUCAUCUAGGAGCAACCAUCCUUCUAGUGGCGUGAUCAUCCAACCUUGCAUCCAUCUUCAUGAGCAUUCUUUUCUCCUUCCUUCCUUCUCUUUCAAUUGUUCAUGUUUAAGCUUGUUUCCUUGAAAUUCUGUCUUGUGUUCUUGAGUUUAUGGUUCGGUUGUUCUUAUUUUCCAGCAAUCAUUUUCAGUUCUUUGCCUUUUAAUUUCAUUUUGUUCGGUUCAAUUUGAUUCUUAUCCAAUUCUGUUCGGUGUUUUUAAGUUUUACCUCUUUUUGUUGGUUCAAUUUGACAAUAUGUGGAACUUCCAUGUGAGUUUGGAUUUGGUGCUAGUUUUGGUGAGUUCUUGACUUAGAAUAUUGAUCCAAUUCUAAGAAAAAGUGCCUAACAAUUGUCCAACUCAAGUUGAUUCCUAAGAAUGUCAAGAAUCGUUCUCUUCUUUGCUAUUGGAAUCACAUUAGUGGGGCAGGAAAAAUUAUUCCUGUGCCAGAAAAUCAAAAUAGAGGAAAAAAAAUGAGAGGAACCAGGAGAACAAUGGCAGAAGAGGAGCCAAUUGGGGUUUCCAACGAGGAGCCCCCGCCUGAAGCAACAUGUGUGCUGAUGGAGAUGAUGGAAACCAUGAGGAGGCAAAAUGAAGAGCGUGCAGAGGAAUUUAGAAGGGGGCAGGAAGAAACAAGGGUACGGAUGGAGGAAACGUUAAGAGGACAAGAGCGACUUCAAAGACGGAAUGAGGAGUUGCAGAGGCAGUUGGAAGAUCGGAGGACAAAAAGGUGGGAAUUGCAGGAAGUGGAGCCAGAUUUCACAUCAUUUUCAGGGGAAAUUCUGAAUGAACCAUUUCCAACAAGCUAUGUAUUUUCAAAUAUUAGUUCGUUCAUGGGAAAGCAGGACCUGAAUGCCCACAUUAAAAACUCCAAGGCACAAAUUUUGAUUCAUGGAGGAUCGGAUCUUGUCCGAUGCAAAAUGCUGGCAGGAUCGUUAAUAGGAACGACGUUGGAUUGGAUCAGCUCUUUGCCCGAGGGGUUGGUAACAUUGUUGGAGGUUUUUGUCUGAUUGUUUGUCGCUCAUUUUGCGGCAAAUAAAACAAAACCUUCGGACACAACAGAUCUCAUCCUUCUUCCGUGCAAUGCUAUUGGAUCCAUCAUGCUUGCUUCUCUCUAUUAUUAUUUUUUUUGGCAAUUUCUAAGCAUAAAUGUAGUAAAAUUAUUAAAUAUAAGGAAAGAAACAUUUAAAAGAAUAAAAUAGUUUUUAUUACCAUUAUCCUUUAAUUUAAACCGUAGUCAACAAAAGAAGCCUAAUUGUGUUGCCAUGAAGCGGGAAUGGGAUUCAAACACAGGUUCCUUCAAUGACAAAGGGAAAAUUUAACCACUACAACAGUCAACUUCAUUUGUAUUAUUAUGAUUUUUAUUAUACUAAUAAUACUAAUAAUAUUAAUAAUACUAAUAAUACUAAUAACAUUAAUAAUACUAAUAAUACUAAUAACAUUAAUAAUACUAAUAAUACUAAUAACAUUAAUAAUACUAAUAAUACUAAUAACAUUAAUAACACUAAUAAUACUAAUAACAUUAAUAACACUAAUAAUACUAAUAACAUUAAUAAUACUAAUAACAUUAAUAAUAUUACUAAUACUAAUAAUAUUAAUAAUAUUAAUAAUCUAUACCUAUAUAUAAAGGGGAUUCCCCUCUUAACUACCAUCUUAUUUUAUUUUAAUUUUAUCUCUAUCUUUAUAUCUUAUUAUUUUAUUUGUCAUUUUGUGAAGAGUUUAAAUUUUAUAUCUCAAAGAGUUUAAACAUUCUACAAUUGCAUCUUUUUUUUCAGUUCAUCUUCCACUUUUAUUCCAUCAAACUUUCUAUCAUCUUUUUCUCCUUUUCAUUAAACUUUCUAUCAUCUUUUUCUCCUUUUCAUUAAACUUUCUAUCAUCUUUUUCUCCUUUUCAUUAAACUUUUUAUCAUCUUUUUCUCCUGUUCAUCUUCCCUUUUAUCCCAUCAAACUUUCUAUCAUUUUUUUCUCUCGAUCAUCUUCACUUUUAUCCCAUCAAACUUUCUAUCAUCUUUUUCUCCCGAUCAUCUUCACUUUUAUCCCAUCAAACUUUCUGUUUUCAAAUUCAAAUUACCAGAAGUCGCAAGUUCCAUAACCACUUCCGUUCCAGAACCACGAAAUAGUGUUGUUUUUCAACUAUAAAGUAUAUAUUCUGAUUUUACUUUUAUUGAUUAUUCAUUUAUGAAUGUUUUUAGCAUUAUAUGAUGACAAUAUUAUAAUUAUUGUGCUCACACAAAUAAAUAGAACAAUUAAAAAAUUGAAAGAGAAAUUAAGUAUCUGAAAAAACUGAACCAAUGAAAGUAUUACUAUAUGAGAAAACAUAUAGGAAAUUUCCAUCCAAAGGAUAGUGAUUAAGAGGCAUUGCAGUGAUGGGUGAGUUGCAGGGAUUAUGGUUUUCUUAGGGGUUUAGUUUUUUAAAAAAUUAAGAAUUAAAUAUUCAAAAUUUUAAAUUUUAAAUUUUAAAUGGUAGUUAAGAGGAAAUCCCCUAUAUAUAAGUAAUUUAAAAUUUAAAAUUUAAAAUUUAAUAUUUAAAAUUCAAAAUUCACUAUUUUAAAUUUAAAAUGGUAGUUAAGAGGAGAUCCCAUAUAUAUAUAUGUUAUUUAAAAUUCAAAAUUCAAAAUUCACUGUUUUAAAUUUAAAAUGGUAGUUAAAAGUAGAUCCCUAUAUAUAUAGGUAAUUUAAUAUUUAAAAUUUAAAAUUUAUUAGUACAUAAAACGUAUACGAAAUUAAAUAUUAAAACUUAAAUAUUAAAAAUUCAAAAUUAAAUAUUAAAACAUUAAAAUUAAAAUUCAAAAUUUUAAAUUUUAAAUGGUAGUUAAGAGGAGAUCCCCUAUAUAGGUAAUUUAAAAUAUAAAAUUUAAAAUUUAAAAUGUUUUUUUAAAUAAUUUCAUAUUUUAUAUAUUUAUUUUUACAUUUUGCGAAUUAUUAUAUGAAGAUAUUUUUUAAUUAUAUUUUUUCAUUUAUAUAAACAAUAUUUAAUAUAUAGAUCAAAGUGUUUUUUAAAUAUUAUCAUAUUUUAUAUAUUUAUUUUCACAUUUUGUAAAAUAUUUUCUGAAAAUAUUUUUAAUUUAGCUAUCUAUUUUCUGUCACAUACUAAUCUUUUUUUCUUGCUGCUGUAUGUAUGUUUGCAUUGCAUUAGUGAUUCUUGGUUUGCAACAGUGUUUUUAUAAUUUGUUUUGCUUUUAGUUUUGAUUUAUAUUUUAGAAUUUUUUAAAUAAUUUUUCUAAUGUUUAUUAGUUUUCUACAUUUUAAUACAUUACACAACAAAAUCGAAAAUAUAAAUACCGAUGAAGAGUAGAACGACAAAACCAAACUUGAAGCUAAAUAUUGCAAACAUAAGACGAAGAAUGACCAUGGAACAAAUGACAAAUGAACUAUCUACACAAAGCAGAAGUUAUAGAGAAAGAAGAUUGAAAUCAAUUCGACAUUUGGCUCGAUCAAUCAAUAAUGCAGGUAACAAAAAUGUUAUAUAAACAUUUAACUUUUCAUAACUAUUAUUUUUAAUUUUUUUUAUAUAGUUUUAUUUAUUCCUUCAUUUAACUUGACAUUUGAAGAAUCAAACAAUAACAAGGCAGCACCAAGUAACACACUUUACUGAAUAAGGAUGAUUAAUUAUAAGGAUGAUCAAUCAUUCGCAUUGGUUAAGCCAAUUGACAUCAAGGUAUAAUGAUUUUACAUAAUGAUGAUGAUAAUGUCAUUUUUUAUUCAUAAUGUAUUAUAAAUUUAUAUUGUUAAUAUAAAUGUGUGAAAAAUAACAUUUUUCUUAUUUUAAUUUUAAUAUUAAAUAUAAAUACAAUAUAAAUGAACACAUAAAAAAUGCGGAUACACAGGCGCGAGAGCGCCUGUGUGUCCGCUAGUAUUAAUAAUAUUAAUAAUAUAAUAAUAUAAAAUAUAAUAUUAAUAAUAUGAAUAUAAUAUUAACAAUAUUAUUAAUAACAUAAUAAUAUAAAAUAUAAUAUUAAUAAUAUGAAUAUAAUAUUAACAAUAUUAUGAAUAAUGUUAAUAAAAUGAAUAUAAUAUUAAGAAUAUAAAUAUUGAAUAUAAUAUUAAUAAUAUGAAUAUAAUUUAUAUUAUUAUUAUUAUAAAUUGUAUAAAUUAUAUUAAUAAUAAUAAGUAUAAAUUAUAUUAAUAAUAAUAUGUAUAAAUUGUAUUAAUAAUAAUAUGUAUAAAUUGUAUUAAUAAUAAUAAGUAUAAUAAAAAUGGUAAUAUGACCAAAGAACUUGUAUGGUUUAGUGGUUGAAGUUUCUUUGGUUCAAUUCCUAACUACUGCAAUUUGCUUCAAGUAUUAAUUUGGGACUUAGGUUCGAGUGAGUCUGGGGAAAAGUGUACUGGUAAGGGUCGAAUGGUCAAUACCGUGUGGGCCGACCGACACCAUCGAUCCAAUUAUACUCAAUCAAGGUUAGUUACAUUAAUAUAUAUAUAUAUAUAUAAGAAAAUUGUAGAAGAUUUAUGAGAUGUUGGAAUUGUCUAAAUGAAAAAUUCCUUAUACAAGAUAUUGAAACCCAUCAAAUAACUUAAUUUUUUAAGAAAGCCAUAAGAAAAUCAAGGAACUAGAAAAAAAUUUGUGAAAAAACAUGAUAUAGGCAAUGAGAUGCUAAAAGUUAAUAAGCAUCUAAAAAAUCUAGAAGAAAUAAUUAAUAAACAAUCAUUAUAUUUUUUUUAGGAAAUUUGGACAUUUUUUUGAAAGGAUUACUCAAAAUAGGUUACUCAAAUUGGUUCAAAAAGAAAAAAGAAAGGUAAACUUGAUAGUUAUAUAUAUGUUUCGAAUCAAAUUUAAUCAAAUAAGUAAUGAAUUGAUCCUAAUUUUCCAACUCAUGUUUCUAAUACAAGGAGGGAUUAUUCCGUAUUUAAAUCAUAAGUUUAAAUAAAAAAAAUCUCUUCAACAUUUGUGGACUGAUCUUAUCUUUUGCAUAUUUCAAUUAUUUAAUUAAUAUGAAAGUGCAUAUAGCAUAAUAUAUUACAUACCAUGAGCUUGUUCUGUUACUUCAAAAUGCAUAAAACACAUAAACAAGAAAUAAAGCAGAGGAAGUAGGGGCACAAAGCAUAGCAUAUGUUGUGGUCUACUUGAAGAACUCCAUAACCCAGAAAUUAUUCACAUGACAUUCAUAUUUGAUGCCACUAAAUCCAGCUUCUCUUGCCAAUUUCAUGAACUCUUCUUCAGAUCGUUCUUUACCUCCUGGGUUCUGAGUCAUCAUCAAAACAUCCAUUUGUGAAAUUGCCUUAUAAGCAUUAUUAUUCUCUGGUAUCUUUGGAAGAAUUGCCUCCACAACUAUCACCUUUCCAUCAUCAGGAAUUGCAUCAUAGCAAUUCUUCAACAGUUUCACACAAUGUUCAUCACUCCAAUCAUGAAGUAUCCACUGUACAAUUGCUUAAUGUCAAAGCUCAUUCAAUAAAGUUGAUAUAACUCAUGCAUCAGUUUAAAUUAAACUCUUUUUUCAACCAACGGUUAUUACAAUAUAUAUAAUUAAAAAAUAAAAAAAGUUAUAAUUAAAAUUAAAAAAAUUAAUGAUUAAAAUAUCUAUUCAUAUUCAAGAUAAGGAACAUGUUCAUAAUUUGUAUUAAUUAUAUAAAAUAUCAAAUAAAAAAGGUGUUUGAUAAAAGGAGAGAUUUCUCUCCUCUUUAAAAUUAAAUACUACUAUAUUUCCCCAGCAACCAUCAUUAUGAAUUGACCAAAACUUUCUUACCUUCAUAAAUAAGGCGUCUCCUUUAGGCACAUUUUCAAACAUAUCUCCCCCAACAUGUUCUACUCCUGCAAAACUCAACCUCUUUAACACUGCACACCUCAUAGCUUCAUAACAUAUAUUAGUAACAUGUUCUAUUUAUGUUAUUGUCUUGUAAAACUCUAAAUUUACCAAAUAAGUCUUCAAAAGACAAAAAGAACAUCGUUUUUUUUAAUUUUGCAGAACCACAGGAUUGGAAUGUGUAAGGAUGAUACCAGGAUAGGAAGGAGCAUCUUGAAUGACAUGAGGCAAGUCAAAAUUGAUGCCAUGGAUAUGAGGGUAUUUGGAAGUGAUCAAGUUAAUAUUGACUCCAAGACCACCAGCAACAUCUACCAGUCUUUUUAUGCCCUCAAAACCUUUGUAGGAUUGCAGAAUCUUCUUCAUCACCAAAGUGGUGUGAUUCAUCAUUGCUGUGUUGAAAACUUUAUUGAAUCUUGAGUCCAAACGUGGAUAGUCAAAAGCAUGAGUGCCAUAAACCCUGUUGAAUGGAACACCCCCCUCCCUAAUUGCAUUUUUCAGCUCACUCCUAAUAAUGUAUAAAGAAACUUAUUUCAGUUCAUAGCCUGAAAGUUCUGCACAGUUCAUAAAUCCUCUACGAAACAUUUACUUCCAAUGACAUAAUUUAAAACAUACCAAUAUGUUUGUGAUGGAAAGGUAGAUAAAAUGAUUAUAAUAGUUGGGAGAGAGAGAGAGAGAGAGAGAGAGUUUAACCAGCUUUGUAGGAAGAUUUUGUCUUGGCAUAAGGCCAUCAAGGGUCCCAAGGAAACUCCAUCAGAAUUGGGAGCAAAGAAUGCGGCCACGGGAGUGAUGGUGUAGAGGCGGUGAAAGGAGGGAGGAACACGGUGGUCGGAAAUGAGAGAAGAGUGAAGAAUGGAGUGAGAAGAAAGAAGUGCGAGGAGACGAUGUAGCAUUGAGGCUGCUUGUGG
rnacentral:lncRNA from 1 species